rnacentral:lncRNA from 1 species
GCGGACGGCGUUGCGCACGAUGUCCUCGGCCUGUGCGCAUGAGUGCUCGUAGAAACCGACCUCAAGUUUCCCCGGCGAGGCGUGUACGUGUGCCGCUGAUGAGGAGACGACGACGAGCGCCGACAAGGCAAAUGCCAACCAAGUGGACCUCAUGACGAAGGUGAACAAUUGGUCGAUCAGAUGCUGCUCUCUCACUCUGAGCUUUCUAUCUGCUUUAGCUCUGGAGCUCGAUCGAGAUGGUGACGAGGAGAGGAGAUGAAGAGCUGCUUUAGAUGUUACUCUCUAUUUAUACAAUGUGCUUGGAACCGUGUUUGUGAACCGGGUCAACGAAUAAUAAGCAAGACCCAAUAUAAUCCCUGCAUCGCGAUAACAAUCGAGUAACAACUGCUACAAGAACCGUGUCAGUGGACUUUGUAGUACAUAUAUGUCAGCAUGUACCUAAUAAUGUUGCCCAGACUUUGUUGUAGCAGCAAAUGAUGAGCAAAGCAGACAGUUGUUUAGAGAUCGAAAAUGAUGUUAGUUGCUUGAUCAGAGAAUUCAUGGAGACACAUACAGUUAAUUUUUUUAUUGACAUGGUCGAUGCCCCUACCGCAUGACCAGGACAAAUCAAAGCCGUGUCCAAAAUGGAUUGUGUCAUCACUAAGGCAAGGUCCAACCGGACUUUCCUUGUGCUUGCUCUUGAUGUUUCUUGAGUGCAAAAAAAGUUUUAAAAUGUGUUUCUCUGUUAAAUAGGUUUUCCUCAUAAAUUACCAAAAUUUUCUGGCAAUUAUCUCAUUUUCCUAUAGCUAUUUAUAUUUAUUAGAAGGCUCUAAAAUAUUUUUAUGAACUCCAAAUAUUUUAUUUGGAUUCCUAAACCUGUAGGAUGUUAUUUCCUAGAAUUUUCGGAACCUUCGUGACCCUAUCCACUCGUCGGAGUCAUCUCCUGAAUCUCUAAACUAAGGGUGUGUUUGGUUUGGCUUUUGGCUUUGGCUUUUGCCCCCUAAAAGUCAAAAGCCAAACCAAAAGGCUGGAUCCAGAAAGCAGCUUUUUCUAAAAGCUGACUUUCUCAUAGUGCAAAACUGAAAACACACCUAGACCUGCUUUUAGUAGCUUUCGGAUGGAACUGUGAAAACAUAUAUCGAAAUACUUUUAACGGCUUUUAGUGGUUUCACCAAAUAAUUUUUAGCUUUUUAAUAGCUCACAGCCCACAACAGCUUUUUCCACAGCUCACAGCACACAUCAGCUUUUUUCACAGCCACAGCCCAACCAAACAGACUCUAAGUCGUCAUGAUUAUUAGAUGGUCUAAUAUGAGUAGGACUUCAGAAGUAUAAAUAUGGCAAAAAUAUCAUUUGAAUAGAAGAGACAAGUUAGAGUCCUAAACAAAUAAGACAAUAUUCCAACAUAUAAGGUAGAGUCAUAAGCAAAUAAGACAUUAUUCUAACGGAUAAGAAAGUCACACUUGUAACUAUAGAGAGUCAUGUGACUUAAUCGUAUUCAGCACUUUAACCGCCCACCUCCUUGGACUAUAUAAGGAGAGACAAUGCAGCCCCAUGAGCAUAAACCAGAAUAUAACAGAUCAGUAGCCAUCAAAACACUGGACAUAGGGUAUUAUAUCAUGACGAGAGCCUAAACCAGCCUAACCUAUAAAUUGACCCUCGGGAAAUCCUCGAUAGAGGGGUUUGAAGUCCAACCUACAAAAGCAUUAGAGCAACGACUAAGAAAGGCAAGUGUGUUCUUGAUCUCGUUGUUUUACUUAAUAAUGUUUACUAUUAUGUUCUCACCUAUGUAUUGCACUGUUAGAUUAACCCGAUGGGACCUAAUAGGUUACCUAACUUUGUUUUCCCUAUACCUUGUUUACCCCUAAGUUACUAAUUAUUGGGUAGACAUUCUUGUGCUCAACUUUGUUUUUGGGAAUAAUGAUACUUAUGAUUCAUGGUCAUGUUUUAUUAUGAUUUUUAUUGUCGGUUUAUUUAUUGUGCAUGAUAAGUCCACCUUGUUUAAUUGGGACAUGGAGAACCAGUCGAGAAAACAAUGUAACCACAACUACUUUUAUGGCUCUAUUCUUAGCUAAUUGAUCAUGAAAGCUGGUGUGUAAGAACCUACCUCAACAGGACCAAGCAGGGAGGAGUUGCUCAAGUAUAGGGAGGUUCUCAAGUUGAUCUGCUUUGCGGAAGCUUUUCAGACGAGGGGUUUAUAUACCAACUCCAUUUGAAACCGUAGCGGGUUUUCUCAUGCCAGUGGAAAUUUGUAAAGGCCUUGUAGUGAACCCUUCCUCACCUCCCUAGAAGAGAUGUAUGGGACCUUGAGCCCUUGGCAAAUGGGUAACAUAACUAUGGGUAAAGAUGUGCAACCUCUGCAGUGUGUAAAACUGAUAUAUCAGUCGUGCUCACGUUUACGAGCGGCUCGAACCCUCACAUGAUUAAAUUAUGGAAUUAAAUUAAAUCGGACGUGCAUUUUAUUAGGGGCGAAAACGGGUUGGGUAUAUCCCAUUUUUCGAUACGGAUUCAAGUAUUUUUAUACCUGGGACGGAUACGGGUAGUACCUGGAUAGUGCAGCUUCAGACGCGGUACUCGGAUAUUCGGGUCAGAUACAAGCAUAUAAAAUUUGGGUACCCGUUUUAUCUUUUUCUGCAUAAUAUAGUUAUUGUCGGUACCCUGAAUCAGGGGUGCCCUCUUCUACAGCAUGAAGACGCUGUACACGUACGACGCCUCCAGACCACACGGAGAACGGCACCCGACCCCACCACAUGGGUAGGUCUAAGGGCACCACGUGGCAAGGAAAGAUAAUACAUCCUAGGAUGCAUCAUUGGGUCCGGGCCUCCUUAGAGGGACACCGGACCCCUGUACGUACAACUCUAGAGCUCCCAAGAAGGCAUGCCGGGUCCCUCGGGUAGGCCCCGGGUCCCUCCGAGUAAGGUCUGGGCCUUGGCAAGGUCCAGGGACGGGGAGGACCCUGGCAUGAGUAAGGGUCCGGUUCUGGCACGUGUCCAGGCCUUGCCCUACGCUCCCCACUCAGGCGGAGACCCGCUGCUGCCGCGUGGCUUGUGACCCGUGACAUAAGCCAACGGAUCGAGCCUGACGAAAAGCCCCUAAAGCCGCGCAACCUCUGCAUUUAUUGCGGAUAGGUGAGAGCACCUAGAGGGGGGGGUGAAUAGGUGAUCCUGUAACACUUCAAAAUCUUAAGCCACAAAACUUGGUUAAUCGUUAGCACAAUAAUUGCCAAGUGGCUAGAUCGGAAUCCUCAACAAAACACAACAACCAACAAGGAUCAAUCACAGAGAUGACACGGUGGUUAUCCCGUGGUUCGGCCAAGACCAACGCUUGCCUACUCCACGUUGUGGCGUCCCAGCGGACGAGGGUUGCAAUCAACCCCUCUCAAGUGGUCCAAAGACCCACUUGAAUACCAUGAUGUUUUGCUUUGCUUAUCUUUAUCCCACUUGCGAGGAAUCUCCACAAAUUGGAGUCUCUCGCCCUUACACUUAAAGUUCACAAAGAAGCACGGAGUAAGGGAGGGAAGCAACACACACAAAUCCACAGCAAAAUGCGCACACACACGGCCAAGAAUCGAGCUCAAAAGACUAUCUCAAAGUUCUCACUAGAACGGAGCUCGAAUCACUGAGAAUGACAAACGAAUGCGCAAAGACUGAGUGUGGAUGAUCAAGAAUUCUCUAAGGUUGCUUGGUUAUCUCCUCCAUGCGCCUAGGGGCCCCUUUUAUAGCCCCAAGGCAGCUAGGAGCCAUUGAGAACAAAUCUGGAAGGCCAUCCUUGCCUUCUGUCGUCGGGCGCACCGGACAGUCCGGUGCACACCGGACAGUGUCCGGUGCCCGAUUUCCUUCCUUAAAUGGCGAAGCCGACCGUUGGCAGACUUGGAGCCGUUGGCGCACAGGACAUGUCCGGUGCACACCGGACAGUCCGGUGCCCCCUUCUAGCCGUUGGCUCGGCCACGUGUCCCGCGCAGAUCGCGCGGCCGACCGUUGGCCCGACCGACCGUUGGCUCACCGGACAGUCCGGUGCACACCGGACAGUCCGGUGAAUUAUAGCCGUACGUCGCCGGUGAAAUUCCCGAGAGCGGCUAGUUCGCUCGAGACAGCCUAGCGCACCGGACACUGUCCGGUGCACCACCGGACAGUCCGGUGCUCCAGACCGAACAGCCUUUUGGCUGUACACAGCCAACUUUUCUCUGACUCGAUUUCUCCUGUUUCAAGCACUUAGACACAGUACAUUAGUCUUCAAAACAAUGUACUAAGGCUUUAGAAACAUACCUUUACUCUUGAUUUGCACUUUGUCCAUCCAUGAGCAUAAAUUCACAUUUAAGCACUUGUGUUGGCACUCAAUCACCAAAAUACUUAGAAAUGACCCAAGGGCACAUUUCCCUUUCAAUCUCCCCCUUUUUGGUGAUUUAUGCCAACACAACAUAAAGCAACUAGAACAAGUGCAAUAUCACUUCAAAUAAAACUCAAAUUUAUUUUUCUAAGUCAAACACACAUGUUGAAGCAUAAAGAGAGUCAUUCCAAAAGAGAUUGAUCAAAGAUUUCAAAAACUCCCCCUAUUUCCCAUAAUCAACACUUCUCCCCACAAGAAGCCAACUUUUGACAAGAGAGACAAUAAAAGAGUUUGACAAAACAAAAACUCUAUUCUACUAUUUUCAAAAUCUCUCAAGUGGUAGCUGAUCCAUUUAUCGCUUUGGCCUUUAUUUUCUCCCCCUUUGGCAUCAAGCACCAAAACGGGAUCAAUCUUGGCCCUUUAACCCCAGUGCCUCACCAAAAUCUUCAAUUAAGAGCAAAUGGCAAUAAGAGUUCAUGAGAUGAACUUGGAAUAAGUUACCCUCUCAUCGGAGUGCAGUGGAAGUCUUUCAUGGUCCAAGUCCACCUUUUCCCUUUCAAUCCUCCUUCGAGACUAAAUCAUCAAACUCAAGCACAUGGUUAGUCUCAAAGGGUCAAGUUGUAACACAUCUCCCCCUAAACAUGUGCAUCAAUUUGCAACGGACUUGUGAGGUCCAGGGAGUGUUUGUACAACUUGAGCACCACAAUAAGCAACAAAAUGCAGAAGGAACAUGAUCAAAGGCAUAAACACAAGUAUGCUAUAAAUCAAUCCAAGUUCCGCGAAUCUAAGACGUUUAGCUCACUACGCAACCUGCAAAAGGUCUUCUCAUCUAGAGGCUUGGUAAAGAUAUCGGCUAGCUGGUUCUCGGUGCUAACAUGAAACACUUCGAUAUCUCCCUUUUGCUGGUGGUCUCUCAAAAAGUGAUGCCGGAUGUCUAUGUGCUUUGUGCGGCUGUGCUCAACAGGAUUUUCCGCCAUGCGGAUAGCACUCUCAUUGUCACAUAGGAGUGGGACUUUGCUCAGAUUGUAGCCAAAGUCCCAGAGGGUUUGCCUCAUCCAAAGUAGUUGCGCGCAACACUGCCCUGCGGCAACAUACUCGGCCUCAGCGGUGGAUAGGGCAACGGAGGUUUGUUUCUUAGAAUUCCAUGACACCAGGGACCUUCCUAAGAAUUGGCACGUCCCCGAUGUACUCUUCCUAUCGACCUUACAUCCAGCAUAGUCGGAGUCUGAGUAUCCAACCAAGUCAAAGGUAGACCCCUUUGGAUACUAGAGCCCGAAGCAAGGCGUAGCAACCAAAUAUCUAAGAAUUCGCUUCACCGCCACUAAGUGACACUCCUUAGGAUCGGAUUGAAAUCUAGCACACAUACAUACGCUAAGCAUAAUAUUCGGUCUACUAGCACAUAAAUAAAGUAAAGACCCUAUCAUUGACCGGUAUGCUUUUUGAUCAACGGACUUACCUCCUUUGUUGAGGUCGGUGUGUCCGUCGGUCCCCAUCGGAGUCUUUGCGGGCUUGGCGUCCUUCAUCCCAAACCGCUUUAGCAGAUCUUGCGUGUACUUCGUUUGGGAGAUGAAGGUGCCGUCCUUGAGUUGCUUCACUUGGAACCCAAGGAAGUAGUUCAACUCGCCCAUCAUCGACAUCUCGAAUUUCUGAGUCAUUACCCUGCUAAACUCUUCACAAGACUUUUGGUUAGUAGAACCAAAUAUUAUGUCAUCGACAUAAAUUUGGCACACAAACAAAUCACCAUCACAUGUCUUAGUGAACAGAGUUGGAUCGGCUUUCCCAACCUUGAAAGCAUUAGCAAGUAAAAAGUCUCUAAGGCAUUCAUACCAUGCUCUUGGGGCUUGCUUAAGUCCAUAGAGCGCCUUAGAGAGCUUACACACGUGGUCGGGGUACCGUUCAUCCUCGAAGCCAGGGGGUUGCUCCACGUACACCUCCUCCUUGAUUGGCCCGUUGAGGAAAGCACUCUUCACAUCCAUUUGGAACAACCUGAAAGAAUGGUGAGCGGCAUAUGCUAGCAAGAUACGAAUUGAUUCUAGCCUAGCCACAGGAGCAAACGUCUCCUCAAAGUCCAAACCUGCGACUUGGGCAUAGCCUUUUGCCACAAGUCGAGCCUUGUUCCUCGUCACCACCCCGUGCUCGUCCUGUUUGUUGCGGAACACCCACUUGGUUCCCACAACAUUUUGCUUGGGACGAGGCACCAGUGUCCAAACUUCAUUGCGCUUGAAGUUGUUGAGUUCCUCCUGCAUGGCCAAUACCCAAUCCGGAUCUAGCAAGGCCUCCUCUACCCUGAAAGGCUCAAUAGAAGAGACAAAGGAGUAAUGCUCACAAAAAUUAACUAAUCUAGAUCGAGUAGUUACUCCCUUGCUAAUGUCACCCAAAAUUUGGUCGACGGGAUGAUUCCUUUGAAUCACCGCUCGAACUUGGGUUGGAGGUGCCGGUUGCGCUUCUUCCUCCAUCAAGUGAUCAUCUUGUGCUCCCCCUUGAUCACAUGCCUCCUUUUGAUGAACCUGUUCAUCGUCUUGAGGUGGGGGAUGCACCGUUGUUGAGGAAGAAGGUUGAUCUCUUUCAUCUUGUUCCUGUGGCCGCACUUCUCCAAUCGCCAUGGUUCGUAUAGCGGCCGUCGGAACAUCUUCUUCAUCUACAUCAUCACAAUCAACAACUUGCUCUCUUGGAGAGCCAUUAGUCUCAUCAAAUACAACGUCGCUAGAGACUUCAACCAAACCCGAUGAUUUGUUGAAGACUCUAUACGCCUUUGUAUUUGAGUCAUAACCUAACAAAAAUCCUUCUACAGCUUUGGGAGCAAAUUUAGAAUUUCUACUCUUCUUCACUAGAAUGUAGCACCUGCUCCCAAAUACACGAAAGUAAGAUACAUUGGGUUUGUUACCGGUUAGUAGCUCAUACGAAGUCUUCUUGAGGAGACGAUGAAGGUAGACCCUGUUGAUGGCAUGGCAAGCCGUGUUCACGGCUUCCGACCAAAAACACUCGGGGGUCUUGAAUUCUCCAAGCAUCGUCCUUGCCAUAUCGAUUAGCGUCCUGUUCUUCCUCUCUACCACACCAUUUUGCUGUGGUGUGUAGGGAGCGGAGAACUCGUGCUUGAUCCCCUCCUCCUCAAGAAACUCUUCUACUUGAAGAUUCUUGAAUUCGGACCCGUUGUCGCUCCUUAUCUUCUUCACCUUGAGUUCAAACUCAUUUUGAGCUCUCCUGAGGAAGCGCUUGAGGGUCCAUUGGGUUUCAGACUUAUCCUGCAAAAAGAACACCCAAGUGAAGCGGGAAAAGUCAUCAAUAAUAACUAAACCAUACUUACUUCCUCCUAUACUUAGAUAGGCGACGGGUCCGAAGAGGUCCAUAUGCAGCAGCUCCAGAGGUCUUGAAGUGGUCAUCAUAUUCUUGCUGUGAUGCGCUCCUCCCACUUGUUUACCUGUUUGACAAGCUGCACAAGGUCUAUCUUUUUCGAAUUGCACGUUAGACAAACCUACCACAUGUUCUCCCUUUAGAAGCUUGUGAAGGUUCUUCAUCCCUACAUGUGCUAAGCGGCGAUGCCAUAGCCAGCCCAUGCUAGUCUUAGCUAUUAAGCAUGCAUCUAGACCGGCCUCCUCUUUUGCAAAAUCAACUAAAUAAAGUUUGCCGUCUAAUACACCCUCAAAAGCUAGUGAACCAUCACUUCUUCUAAAGACAGACACAUCUACAUUUGUAAAAAGACAAUUAUACCCCAUAUUGCAUAGUUGACUAACGGAUAGCAAAUUGUAACCAAGAGACUCAACUAAAAACACAUUAGAGAUGGAGUGCUCAUUAGAAAUUGCAAUUUUACCUAACCCUUUUACCUUGCCUUGAUUCCCAUCACCGAAUAUAAUUGAAUCUUGGGAAUCCUUAUUCUUGACGUAGGAGGUGAACAUCUUCUUCUCCCCCGUCAUAUGGUUUGUGCAUCCGCUGUCAAUAAUCCAGCUUGAACCCCCGGAUGCAUAAACCUGCAAGGCAAAUUUAGGCUUGGGACUUAGGUACCCAACUCUUGUUGGGUCCUACAAGGUUAGUCACAAUUGUCUUAGGGACCCAAAUGCAAGUUUUAUCACCCUUGCAUUUUGCCCCUAAUUUCCUAGCAAUCACCUUUCUAUCCUUUCUACAAAUUGCAAAGGAAGCAUUUAAAGCACAAUAAAUUGUAGAAGGUUCAUUCACUACUUUCCUAGGAGCAUGAAUAAUAUUCUUUCUAGGCACAUGAUGAGUAGCAUUUCUCCUAGACAUUUUUCUACCAUGCAUAUAGGAAAAACUAGAAGCAAACAUGUCAUGAGAAUCAAAAUCAUCAUAAGCAUUACAACUCCUAUAAGCAUUUCUAGUUUGUCUCCUUUCAUGAUACAUAAAAGCAUGGUUUCUUUUAGUACUACUAGCCAUAGGAGCCUUCCCUUUCUCCUUGGCGGAGAUAGGAGCCUUAUGGCUUGUUAAGUCCUUGGCCUCCCUCUUGUAGCCAAGUCCAUCCUUAAUUGAGGGGUGUCUACCAAUCGUGUAGGCAUCCCUUGCAAAUUUCAGCUUAUCAAAUUCAUUCUUGCUAGUCUUAAGUUGGGCAUUAAGACUAGCAACUUCAUCAUUUAAUCUCGAAAUUGAAACUAGGUGUUCACUACAUGCAUCAAUAUCAAAAUUCUUACACCUAGUACAAAUUAUAACAUGUUCUACACAAGAAUUAGAUUUAUUUGCUACUUCUAAUUUAGCAUUUAAAUCAUUGUUAACACCUUGUAAAGUAGAAAUGGUUUCGUGACAAGAAGAUAAUUCACUAGAGAGCAUUUCAUUCCUUUUAAUUUCUAGAGCAAGAGAAUUUUGUGCACUAACAAAUUUAUCAUGCUCCUCAUAUAAAAGAUCCUCUUGUUUUUCUAGUAAUCUAUUCUUGUCAUUCAAAGCAUCAAUCAACUCAUUAAUCUUAUUAAUUUUAGAUCUAUCUAAUCCUUUGAAUAAGCAUGAGUAAUCUAUCUCAUCAUCAUCACUAGACUCAUCCUCACUUGAAGUAUAAGUACUAGUAUCAUGAGUGCUUACUUUCUUCUCCCUUGCCAUGAGGCAAGUGUGAUGCUCGUUGGGGAAGAGAGAUGACUUGUUGAAGGCGGUGGCGGCGAGUCCUUCAUUGUCGGAGUCGGAGGAGGAGCAAUCCGAAUCCCACUCCUUUCCGAUAUGUGCCUCGCCCUUGGCCUUCUUGUAAUGCUUCUUCUUCUCCCUUUUGUUCCCCUUUUCCUGGUCACUUUCAUUAUCGGGACAGUUAGCAAUGAAAUGACCAAUCUUACCACAUUUGAAGCACGAGCGUUUCUCCUUUGUCUUGGUCUUGCUUGGCUGUCCCUUGCGACCUUUAAGUGCCGUCUUGAAGCGCUUAAUGAUGAGGGCCAUCUCCUCAUUAUUUAGCCCGGCCGCCUCAACUUGCGCCACCUUGCUUGGUAGCGCCUCCUUGCUCCUCGUUGCCUUGAGAGCAAUGGGUUGAGGCUCAUGAAUAGGACCGUUCAACGCGUCGUCCACGUAUCUCGCCUCCUUGAUCAUCAUUCGCCCGCUUACGAACUUCCCAAGAACUUCUUCGGGCGACAUCUUGGUGUACCUAGGAUUUUCACGAAUGUUGUUCACCAAAUGAGGAUCAAGAAUGGUAAAAGACCUUAGCAUUAGGCGGACGACGUCGUGGUCCGUCCAUCGCGUGCUUCCGUAGCUCCUUAUUUUGUUGAUAAGGGUCUUGAGCCGGUUGUAUGUUUGUGUUGGCUCCUCGCCCCUUAUCAUUGCGAAUCGACCAAGCUCGCCCUCCACCAACUCCAUCUUGGUGAGCAGGGUGACAUCAUUCCCCUCAUGAGAUAUCUUGAGGGUGUCCCAGAUUUGCUUAGCAUUGUCCAAGCCGCUCACCUUAUGGUACUCGUCCCUGCACAAAGAGGCUAGCAACACAGUAGUAGCUUGUGCAUUUUUAUGAAUCUGUUCAUUAAUAAACAUGGGACUAUCCGUACUAUCAAAGUGCAUUCCACUCUCUACAAUCUCCCAUAUGCUAGGAUGGAGAGAGAACAAGUGACUACGCAUUUUGUGACUCCAAAAUCCGUAGUCCUCUCCAUCAAAAUGAGGAGGUUUACCAAGUGGAAUAGAUAAUAAAUGAGCAUUAGUACUUUGAGGAAUACGAGAGUAAUCAAAAGAAAAGUUCGAAUUGACCGGUUUCUUUCUCUCGUAGUCGUUGUGGUCGUCGUCCUUUUGGGAGGAAGUAGACUCAUCGCUGUCGUAGUAGACGAUCUCCUUGAUGCGUCUUGUCUUCUUCUUCUUCCCAUCUUUGCGUCUGUGGCCCGAGCCCGAGUCGUUGGACUUGUCAUCCCUUGGCUCGUUGACGAAGGACUCCUUCUCCUUGUCGUUGAUCACGAUUCCCUUCCCCUUAGGAUCCAUCUCUUCGGGCGGUUAGUCCCUUUCUUGAAGAGAACGGCUCUGAUACCAAUUGAGAGCACCUAGAGGGGGGGGGGGUGAAUAGGUGAUCCUGUAACACUUCAAAAUCUUAAGCCACAAAACUUGGUUAAUCGUUAGCACAAUAAUUGCCAAGUGGCUAGAUCAGAAUCCUCAACAAAAUACAACAACCAACAAGGAUCAAUCACAGAGAUGACACGGUGGUUAUCCCGUGGUUCGGCCAAGACCAACGCUUGCCUACUCCACGUUGUGGCGUCCCAGCGGACGAGGGUUGCAAUCAACCCCUCUCAAGCGGUCCAAAGACCCACUUGAAUACCACGAUGUUUUGCUUUGCUUAUCUUUAUCCCACUUGCGAGGAAUCUCCACAAAUUGGAGUCUCUCGCCCUUACACUUAAAGUUCACAAAGAAGCACGGAGUAAGGGAGGGAAGCAACACACACAAAUCCACAGCAAAAUGCGCACACACAUGGCCAAGAAUCGAGCUCAAAAGACUAUCUCAAAGUUCUCACUAGAACGGAGCUCGAAUCACUGAGAAUGACAAACGAAUGCGCAAAGACUGAGUGUGGAUGAUCAAGAAUGCUCUAAGGUUGCUUGGUUAUCUCCUCCAUGCGCCUAGGGGCCCCUUUUAUAGCCCCAAGGCAGCUAGGAGCCGUUGAGAACAAAUCUGGAAGGCCAUCCUUGCCUUCUGUCGUCGGGCGCACCGGAUAGUCCGGUGCACACCGGACAGUGUCCGGUGCCCGAUUUCCUUCCUUAAAUGGCGAAGCCGACCGUUGGCAGACUUGGAGCCGUUGGCGCACCGGACAUGUCCGGUGCACACCGGACAGUCCGGUGCCCCCUUCUAGCCGUUGGCUCGGCCACGUGUCCCGUGCAGAUCGCGCGGCCGACCGUUGGCCCGGCCGACCGUUGGCUCACCGGACAGUCCGGUGCACACCGGACAGUCCGGUGAAUUAUAGCCGUACGUCGCCGGUGAAAUUCCCGAGAGCGGCUAGUUCGCUCGAGACAGCCUGGCGCACCGGACACUGUCCGGUGCACCACCGGACAGUCCGGUGCUCCAGACCGAACAGCCUUUUGGCUGUACACAGCCAACUUUUCUCUGACUCGAUUUCUCCUGUUUCAAGCACUUAGACACAGUACAUUAGUCUUCAAAACAAUGUACUAAGGCUUUAGAAACAUACCUUUACUCUUGAUUUGCACUUUGUCCAUCCAUGAGCAUAAAUUCACAUUUAAGCACUUGUGUUGGCACUCAAUCACCAAAAUACUUAGAAAUGACCCAAGGGCACAUUUCCCUUUCAAUAGGACGCACUGCCUGCCACCACACUGACGGACGACGUGCCCUCUCAGCAUUUAAUGCGUCCUGUCCAAUUCGCUGGCAGACAGCGUUAGGGUCAUCCAGCAGACGGCGCGCCUAUCCAGUCUGUUGACGAACAGUGCGCCUGUUCCGUGCGGCGUACUGUGCUCACCACCCCUUCUACAAGAAGCUUCCCCUGCACGCCGAGGAUACACAGAUCUCGGAUGUCAGGGCACAAGAAGAUUGCCCCAGCAGCGAACAUUUGUAGCUCCAAACGCUAUAUUCAUUAUGUCUCUGGGCCCACAUAUCGGGGUUCAGUACCUUUGUGCAUGCCCCCUUCAGCUAUAAAAGGGGAGGCAUGCGGCGUUACAAGACAGAUCCAAUCUUAGGCUCACUCAGACACUCACAAGUUCAUACAAGCUCUCAAGCAAUACAUCACACAGUGGAGUAGGGUGUUACGCUCCGGCGGCCUGAACCACUCUAAAUCCUUGUGUGUUCUUGUGUUGUUCCCAUUUUCCGACUAACAAGCAAAACGCCUAGGCCCCUCCUCAUCUUAGGAUUUAGGACAGGUGCACUUCGCCACCCGGCCGGAGAUUUCCUCUCCGACAUUUGGCGCACCAGGUAGGGGGCUAGGCAUUAGAUUUUUGCUUGUUUCCUUGCUCAAGCAUGAUGGUGCAAAUCGUUGAGCACCGUGCCGAGACUUCGGUAGAUUUCGCGGUGGAAGGAGAAGCUGCUUCUUCCAUGCCACAAGUUCCUGUAACACCCACUUUGUAAGAAAAUUCUAAAAGAGAAAUUAUAUCACUCUACAUCUAUAUGUACUACCACUGUUUAUCAUUUUUCAUGUGGACACAUUACUUACACACAAAAAAAUAAUAAUAACAAAAGACACUCAAUUAAAUCAUGCAUCAUGCUGGAUUUUGUUUUGUUUGCAUUUUGUGACAACAUAUAAUAAUGUGAAAAAUGUUAAAUAUCCAAAUGGGAAAUUAAAUCCUAAAAGAAAUUCUAAAAUUUGGAAAGAAAGAAAGAAAAAUACUAUGCAAUACAAAAAUAAAACUUAUAAAUAGAUAAAUUUAUUCCACAAUGAUUUAUCCAAAUCAUAUACUCAGAAAAUUUGAGUACAAGUUCAUCACAAAUUUGAAAUUCAAACUUAGAUUCAAAAAUAAGAGAAAAGAGAAAGGAAAAUGAAAAUAUAAAAGAAAAAGGGUGCUGUGCUCGAUUGGGCCUAAACCAACCAAUUCGGCCCAAUACCAAAUUUCACCCUGCGCAGCCCAGCUUCUAUUCUUUGCGCCGACUGAUGGGGCCCACUGGCCAGUCACAAGCCCCUCGCGCGCACACCGGUUCGGAUCGCUGCUGGCGGGACCGCCCAGUCAGCCUCCCACGCGCGCGUUGCCUUCUUUGCGCUUGCGCCGCGGUGCCGUGGGUCCAGGCUGUCAGACACUCAACCAAUUCGCCCGGUAAUGGCGGAAUCGCCCCACGGACUCGGAGCUCCGUUGCCUGAGGCUGGCGACCCCAGCAUCGUGACCCGUGCUGCAUAAAGCCCUAAGCCGGCCACAACCUCCCUCUCCUCCCUUCCUCAAUUUCGCAAGCGCCUCCACCAACAGAGAGUUUCGCGAGCAGGGCUUUUUGAGCGGGUCGUUCGUGAUUGCCGUCGCCGUCGCGGGCGAUUCUCGGCCACGACCCCGGUGCCGAACCGGAUCCGUGUCGGGAGUCUACACCGAGUGGGCACGUAACCCUCCGUGGUGCCUGCGUGCCGAAUCGUCGACCGCGCGCCCCGUAGGAGUUCGCCGGAGAGGGCGGAAUACCGUCAAGCUGCCUCGCAUCGUGGUCAGCUCGCUCGUGCGCCCGAUUCUCGGUAUGGCGCCCCCUAUCCAAUUCACGAGUAGGUGGAUUUCAUUUUGCGCGAUUCCUCGGGGUGAUCUGCUCGUCGGGCUUGCGGUUAGCGCGACGCCGGUGAGGGAUCCGCCGCUGCCUUAGGUGCGCCGUCGUGCCUGUUGGCAGUGUGGGAAGAUGAUGCCGCGACCGCUGGAUCAGUAGCUGGCGGCUGGGAUUUGAUCUGGGUCAGAGAGACUAUGGACCGUAGAUCUGUCGGUGGGCGGCGUGGAUUAGACGGGCGAUACCUCUUGGCAACAUUGAAAUCUAUCCGUAGAUCCGUUGAUGGACGCUUGGGAUCUGGUGUAGGCGUGGCCAUCUCGGGAAGCCUCGGAUCGUGAUCCGGUGGCUGUGAUUCAGUACCGUUUCAAGGGGGGAGCGGUUUUAAUCUGAGUCGUUGAUGUCUAAUCGGACGGCUCCGGGCGGGAGAUACCCUUUCGCCUUGGCAUAUUUACUAAAGAGACCCUAGGCUUCUGAGAAAAUAACCCGCAGUCCUGUCUGCAGGACUCUGUGUCUUGGGACCUUUUUGCGCCGGGCCCCCUGUCUUUCUCCGAAAUAGUGGGCCCAGUCCAGUGAUCAUUUAAUUUGAAUAAAUGAAAUAGAAAUGGAUUUUUAAUAUGAAGAUAAUUACUAGAACUUAAUAAAUUCAUAGAAAAUUCAUACUAACUCCAAAUUAAUCCAUUCCAGUUCCUAAAAUUUUGUAAUUUUAUUCUCUACCACUUAGUGUCUCUGUUUUAUCAUGACAACAGUAAGAAAAUUUAUCCCACACUUAAUCCUAUUUUAAACACAUAAAACCUUUGAAAAUCCAUAACUUAAAUUCUAUAACUCCAAAAAUUAUGAUUCCUGUUCCUAGAAUUUUAUUUUAAUGUGUAGAUUAUUACUGUGUAUUUUGUAUAUAUGUUUGGUGUAAUGUUAAUUUCUCUAUAUGCACUGUGCUUGUUUGUAUUGUGGCGAGUAGAAGAGCCCGUGACUGAGGAUCCUGGUGAGCAGCAGGUUGAAGUAGCUGAGCAGGAGCUCAUUGAAGGCAAGUUGUGCCCUUGACCACUUUUUACCUAAUAAUGUUCUUUAAUGUCACUUAUUCAUGCAUAGGUUAAUUUUGAUGGGACCCAAUAGGUCACCCUAGAUUGUUUAUCUCAUUACCUUGUUUACCCCUGAAUCACUUGGGUAGUUUGCUAUUACUUUACAUGGUUUUGGGAUAAUCAUUUAUAUCUAUGUUCCAAUUAUUCUUGUUAUUCUAUUUAUGUUCAUGUCAAGUUCAUUAAUGUUAAUUGGAACAUAGAGCUUAACUUGAGAACCACGUGCCACCACAAGGGUUUAAUGGGACGCCCUUGGCUGACUAAUUAGGAAAGCUAGUGGAAGACUACCUUACCCGAAAGGGGCAAGGGCAGUAGGGGAGUGGUCAGUGUAGGGAGGUCCUUGGUUGAUUUUGCUGCGAUGGCGGUCAGAUAAGAACCCUGCAUUGGAGCUUCCUAUAAACUGUAGCGGGUUUUCGGAAGCUAGUGGAACUUUGUAAAGGCCUCGUAGUGUUGCCCUGCCGCGCUUCCUAGGUAGAGGUGUAUGGGAUUCGCGACCCCUUGGCAGAUGGGUAGCAUGACUUGUGGGUAAAGGGUACAACCUCUGUAGAGUGUAAAACUGGUAUACUAGCCGAGCUCACGGUCAUGAGCAGCUCAGGACUCUCUGAUGAUUAAAUUAUGGAACUUAAAUUCAAUUUUGUCAUUUGCAUAUGCAUGGGUUUAUUAUUAAUUUUGUUCUAUUAUUUAUUAAGGUUUCGUAUUUACUUACAUCUAGUAAUUGCUAAUAAAAUUUUGACCAACAUUAAAAGCAAUGCUCAGCUUUAACCAUUCUCUUUGAUAAGCCUUACACUCCAUGAGAUCCCACCUUUGGUGAGUUCAUGUCACAUUAUUCCCCAUGACUUGUUGAGCGAUGAACGUAUGUGAGCUCACUCUUGCUAUCUUACACCCCCCCACAGGAGAAGAGCAGGUGGUUCAGGAGGAGCCACAAGGCGAGGAGUAUGAUCUGAUCUAGGUGGCGUUUCUCAGUUGACAUUGGCACCGACGAUCCUUAGUUCGUUUUAUCUUUAUUACUUUAUUUUGUAAUAAGUCUUCCGCUAUGUAAUAAAUACUCUGAUGUUUUAUGACAUUUAUCUCUAUACACUCUGUUAUUAUAUAUGUUGUCUUCUUGGCGCAUGUAUGAGAUGCACCUGGCUUUGUUCCUUAAAGCCGGGUGUGACAGAAGUGGUAUCAGAGGAAAUUUUGACUGUAGGACGAGACCUAGAUAGAAAUGGACAAAACCCUCUCCUACUUACCUUACUCUGACUCAUUCUAUACUCAUCUCAUCUUGAUCUUGUCUCACCUUCUACUGUUCUACUCUGAUCAUUCUUACCUUUUCUGCUCUAAGACAAGAUGGAUUUCACACCUUGGAAUCCUACCACUAUGAUCUUUUAAGAGAUAGGGAACCCAGGACAAAAUUUAAAACAAUUUUCUUUAAAAAUGUUGUUUGAUUGUGCUGAUGCUAAAUGCCUGAUUUGCUUCUUUGAUUGAUUGAAUUAUUAUAGAUGGACAUCUUAGCAUGUACCAACAUAAGGUAUUGAAUUAGCUUUAGUAGGUGAAAUAUUAAUCUGCUUAGCUAAUAAAUCCCCCAAAGUAACAUGAUUUGUAAAUACCUGCCUUGUCUACUAUUUUCUUACCAUAUGUAUCUAACUCAGAUGGUCAAUACCAGGAGGGGUGGUGGAAUUGAUUUGCCUCCUAACCGACACACUCGAAGGAUAUAUAGACAACCUCAGCCACAGCCUGUAGAGAUGAAUCCUCCACCAGGCGGAGUUGACCCACUGGUUGCUGCUCAGAUGGCGGUGAUGCAGCAAAUGGCGGACACUAUGGCUGAUAUGCGUGCCCAGAUGCAGCAAGAACGCCAGGAGAUGCGUCAGGAAAGAGAAGAUAUACGUCAGGAGUUGCGCCAGGAGAGAGAGGAGAUACGCUAGGAGAGAAGGGCGCAACAACAGCAGCUACAACAACAACUUCAACAAUAGCAGCAACAGCAACAAGUACCACUGCCUCCUCCACCACCACCAGUUCCACCCCGAGAUAAGCACCGGGAAUUCAUGAGUCAUAAGCCACCUACAUUUGCAAGCUCACCUGAUCCACUGGACGCGGAUGAUUGGCUGAAGUCCGUUGAGAAGAUGCUGAAUAUUGCACAAUGCACUGACCGGGAGAAGGUUUUAUAUGCUUCUGGACGUCUGACAGGUCCUGCUGCUGACUGGUGGGAUUCAUAUACUGCUGCCCACGAUGCCGCUGAUACUAUCACUUGGGCAGAGUUUAGUACACAGUUCAGGAAUUAUCAUAUACCAGCUGGAUUGAUAAAGAUUAAGAAGAAUGAAUUUCUAUCGCUGAAGCAAGGAAGCAUGACAGUCAGCGAGUACAGAGACAAAUUCAUUCAGCUGUCGAGAUAUGCUCCGGAGGAAGUUGCUGAGGAUGAAAGAAAGCAGGAGCACUUUAUUGAAGGACUUAAUGGACCCCUACAGUAUGCACUGGUUGCUCACACUUUUCCAUCAUUUUAGAGGCUGCUGGAUAAGGCUCUUGCUAUUGAACACAAGCGUGUUCAGCUGGGUGAUUUGAAGAGAAAGGCAAUAUCUCAAGGACAAGGAAGCAGCAAUGUUCGUCCUCGCUACAGUUCACCCCAGGGAACACCAACUCGACCAGGAGGACCGCGCCCAGUUCAGCAAUCACCACUGAGGACUCCACCUCCUCGACAGGCUACCCCUACUGGCACCCCGACGAAGUUUUCAGGACAGAGUCCAGGCACUACCUGUUUCAAGUGUGGGAAGACUGGUCAUUAUGCAAAUGUCUGCCCACAGAGGAUUGCUGCUACUCCAGUUCAGAACAGGCAGCAAACUCUAGGAUCUGACAAGGGAUAUUCUAUUGCCAAGGUUAAUCAAGUCAGCGUUGAUGCUACUCCGGAUGGUGGGGACCUCGUACUUGGUAUGUUUUAUGUUAAUGCAAUUCCUGCAACCAUAUUAUUCGAUUCUGGUGCUACACAUUCAUUCAUGUCUGCUAGAUAUGCCAACACAAAUGAAUUACCACUGCUAAAUAUGAGAAAACCAAUGAUAGUAAUUACACCUAAAGGGCCUGUUGAGGCGAAUCAAAUGACACGUAGAUUGACAUUGACCAUUAUGGGUAGAGAAUUUGGAGCUACUGCUAUAAUAUUAGAGUCAAGCAGUAUAGAUCUGAUCCUUGGUAUGUCAUGGCUAAGAAAGGCAAAGGCCGUUAUAGCAUGUGGUAGAGGUACCGUAGAACUCACUACCACUAAGGGAGAAAGAUUUCAAGUUAAUAUUGCAGUAACCUCCUCACCCAUGCGUGCAAUGUUCUUUAUACCUGAGGAGUUUGUUGGUGACAACAUCCGGGUGGUUAGAGAUUUUCCGGAUGUCUUUCCAGAGGAGUUACCAGGGAUGCCACCUGAUAGAGAAGUUGAGUUUGUUAUUGAUCUCUUACCUGGAACCGCCCCUAUUUCUAAACGGCCAUAUAGGAUGUCCGUAGAGGAGUUGAAGGAACUUAAGAAGCAGUUAACUGAGUUACAAGAUGCUGGGUACAUUCGUCCGAGUUCCUCACCUUGGGGAGCACCGGUCUUGUUUGUACAGAAGAAGGAUGGAUCCCAGCGGAUGUGUGUGGAUUAUAGAUCUCUUAAUGAUGUUACGGUGAAGAACAAGUAUCCGUUGCCCCGUAUUGAGGAUUUAUUUGAUCAGAUGAGAGGUGCUAGAGUAUUCUCGAAGAUUGAUCUCCGAUCCGGUUACCAUCAGAUGAGGAUUAGACCAUCGGAUAUUCCCAAGACGGCUUUCUCAACUUGAUAUGGAUUAUAUGAGUUCACUGUUAUGUCGUUUGGAUUAACCAAUGCACCAGCUUAUUUUAUGAACUUGAUGAAUAAGGUGUUUAUGGAGUAUUUGGACAGAUUCGUCGUGGUAUUCAUCGACGAUAUUCUCAUUUAUUCUCAGAGUGAUAACGAUCAUGAGGAACAUCUGAGAUUGGUGCUACAGAAGCUACGAGAUAACCAGCUAUAUGCCAAGUUUAGCAAGUGCGAGUUUUGGAUUGGCGAGGUGCCAUUUCUUGGUCAUAUUAUUUCUAAUGGAGGAAUUUCAGUGGAUCCUGCUAAGGUUAAGGAGAUAAUGGAGUGGAGAGUACCCACUACAGUUACUGAGAUUCGGAGUUUCUUGGGACUUGCUGGAUAUUAUCGGAGAUUUAUUGAAGGAUUUUCUAAGAUUGCUAAGCCUAUGACUUCACUUUUGGAGAAAGGAAGAGAAUUUAAGUGAGAUGAGAAGUGCCAAGACAGCUUUGAUCAAUUGAAGAAAAGAUUGAUGUCGCCACCAGUGUUGGUUAUGCCAGACCUACAGAAAGGAUUUGAUAUCUAUUGCGAUGCAUGUGGCCAAGGCUUAGGAUGUGUGCUCAUGCAGGAAGGACAUGUGAUUGCCUAUGCGUCUCGUCAGUUGCGGAAACAUGAAUUGAACUACCCCACUCAUGACUUGGAAUUGGCAGCCGUUGUGCAUGCGCUAAAGAUUUGGAGACACUACAUCAUGGGAACUAAGUGCCAAGUGUACACGGAUCAUAAGAGUCUGAAGUAUAUAUUCACGCAGAAGGAUCUCAACCUUAGGCAACGCCGUUGGUUGGAGCUUAUUAAGGAUUAUGAUUUGGAGAUUCACUAUCACCCGGGCAAGGCAAAUUUGGUUGCAGAUGCCUUGAGUCGCAAGGAGCAUGUUCAUUCAGCUAUUGUUGCCCAGCUACCCGAUGAGAUUGUUGAGGAUUUCAGGAGACUUAACCUGGGGAUAGUUGCUCAUACUGAAGGAGUUACUAUUGAUGUGGAACCUACUCUGGAGCAAGAAAUCCGCAAAGGUCAACUUGACGAUGCUAAAAUAAAAGAGAUUAAGGAUCUGAUUACUGAAGGUCGAGUUCCGGAAUUUACGGAAGAUGAGCAAGGCACUGUAUGGUUCAAGAACAGGAUGUGUGUUCCUGAUAUUGAAAGCCUUUGAGAGACUAUUUUAAAGGAGGCCCAUGACUCGGAUUAUUCUAUUCAUCCUGGUAGUACCAAGAUGUACCAGGAUUUGAAGCGGAAGUAUUGGUGGUAUGGAUUGAAAAGAGAUGUAGCUGCACAUGUGGCUAUGUGCAAUGUAUGUCAAAGAGUUAAGGCUGAACACCAGAGGCCAGCUGGACUAUUGCAUCCACUGAAGAUACCCGAGUGGAAGUGGGAAGAGAUUGGUAUGGAUUUCAUUACUGGAUUGCCUCGCACCCAGAAAGGAUAUGAUGCUAUAUGGGUGAUUGUGGAUAGAUUGACUAAAGUGGCUCACUUUAUUCCUGUGAAGACUACUUAUAAAGGUUCUCAGCUAGCAGAGUUAUAUAUGGCUCGGAUUGUGUGUUUACAUGGAGUACCAAAGAAGAUCGUGUCUGAUCGAGGUUCACAGUUUACCUCAAGAUUUUGGAGAAGCUUUCAUGAGAAUAUGAGUACAAAGUUGAAUUUUAGUACGGCUUAUCACCCUCAGACUGAUGGACAGACUGAAAGAACUAAUCAUGUAUUGGAAGAUAUGUUGAGAGCAUGUGCCCUUCAGCAUGGUGGAAGUUGGGAUAAGAGUUUACCUUAUGCUGAGUUCUCUUAUAAUAAUAGCUAUCAGGCCAGUCUGAAGAUGUCACCAUUUGAAGCUUUAUAUGGGAGGAAGUGCAGGACUCCUUUGUAUUGGGAUCAGACUGGAGAAAGACAGUUCUUUGGGCCUGAACUGAUUCAAGAAGCAGAAGAGCAAGUCCGUAUAAUUCGAGAGAAUUUGAGGGUGGCUCAAACCAGGCAAAAGAGCUACGUUGAUAAUAGAAGAAGACCGCUGGAAUUUGAGGGAGGAGAUUAUGUGUACCUCAAGGUGUCACCACUUCGUGGAAUGAGGAGAUUCAAAGUUAAGGGCAAAUUGUCCCCUCGCUACAUUGGACCAUUCUUGAUUUUUAGGCGAGUUGGAGAGAUGGCAUACCAACUCGAGUUACCGGAUAGUCUAUCGGAUGUGCAUAAUGUGUUCCACGUAUCUCAACUGAAGAAGUGUCUCCGUGUUCCCGAGGAACAGUUACCAAUGGAAGAGCUCAGUGUUCAGGGUGAUUUGACUUACACGGAGUACCCUAUCAAGAUUUUGGAUACUUUGACUCGUGUUACAAGGAAUAAGGUGAUAAAGAUGUGUAAAGUGCAAUGGAGUCACCACGGAGAAGAUGAAGCAACGUGGGAAAGAGAAGAAGAGCUUCACAUAGAUUUUCCCCACCUUUUCCCUCGUUCCUCCUAAAUCUCGAGGACGAGAUUAUUUUUAAGGGGGGUAGGAUUUGUAACACCCACUUUGUAAGAAAAUUCUAAAAGAGAAAUUAUAUCACUCUACAUCUAUAUGUACUACCACUGUUUAUCAUUUUUCAUGUGGACACAUUACUUACACACAAAAAAAAAUAAUAAUAACAAAAGACACUCAAUUAAAUCAUGCAUCAUGCUAGAUUUUGUUUUGUUUGCAUUUUGUGACAACAUAUAAUAAUGUGAAAAAUGUUAAAUAUCCAAAUGGGAAAUUAAAUUCUAAAAGAAAUUCUAAAAUUUGGAAAGAAAGAAAGAAAAAUACUAUGCAAUACAAAAAUAAAACUUAUAAAUAGAUAAAUUUAUUCCACAAUGAUUUAUCCAAAUCAUAUACUCAGAAAAUUUGAGUACAAGUUCAUCACAAAUUUGAAAUUCAAACUUAGAUUCAAAAAUAAGAGAAAAGAGAAAGGAAAAUGAAAAUAUAAAAGAAAAAGGGUGCUGUGCUCAAUUGGGCCUAAACCAACCAAUUCGGCCCAAUACCAAAUUUCACCCUGCGCAGCCCAGCUUCUAUUCUUUGCGCCGACUGAUGAGGCCCACUGGCCAGUCACAAGCCCCUCGCGCGCACACUGGUUCGGAUCGCUGCUGGCGGGACCGCCCAGUCAGCCUCCCACGCGCGUGUUGCCUUCUUCGCGCUUGCGCCGCGGUGCUGUGGGUCCGGGCUGUCAGACACUCAACCAAUUCGCCCGGUAAUGGCGGAAUCGCCCCACGGACUCGGAGCUCCGUAGCCUAAGGCUGGCGACCCCAGCAUCGCGACCCGUGCUGCAUAAAGCCCUAAGCCGGCCGCAACCUCCCUCUCCUCCCUUCCUCAAUUUUGCAAGCGCCGCCACCAACAGAGAGUUUCGCGAGCAGGGCUUUUUGAGCGGGUCGUUCGUGAUUGCCGUCGCCGUCGCGGGCGAUUCUCGGCCACGACCCCGGUGCCGAACCGGAUCCGUGUCGGGAGUCUACACCGAGUGGGCACGUAACCCUCCGUGGUGCCUGCGUGCCGAAUCGUCGACCGCGCGCCCCGUAGGAGUUCGCCGGAGAGGGCGGAAUACCGUCAAGCCGCCUCGCGUCGUGGUCAGCUCGCUCGUGCGCCCGAUUCUCGGUAUGGCGCCCCCUAUCCAAUUCACGAGUAGGUGGAUUUCAUUUUGCGCGAUUCCUCGGGGUGAUCUGCUCGUCGGGCUUGCGCCGCCGUGCCUGUUGGCAGUGUGGGAAGAUGAUGCCGCGACCGCUGGAUCAGUAGCUGGCGGCUGGGAUUUGAUCUGGGUCAGAGAGACUAUGGACCGUAGAUCUGUCGGUGGGCGGCGUGGAUUAGACGGGCGAUACCUCUUGGCAACCUUAAAAUCUGUCCGUAGAUCCGUUGAUGGACGCUUGGGAUCUGGUGUAGGCGUGGCCAUCUUGGGAAGCCUCGGAUCGUGAUCCGGUGGCUGUGAUUCAAUACCGUUUCAAGGGGGGGAGCGGUUUUAAUCUGAGUCGUUGAUGUCUAAUCGGACGGCUCCGGGCGGGAGAUACCCUUUCGCCUUGGCAUAUUUACUAAAGAGACCCUAGGCUUCUAAGAAAAUAACCCGCAGUCCUGUCUGCAGGACUCUGUGUCUUGGGACCUUUUUGCGCCGGGCCCCCUGUCUUUCUCCGAAAUAGUGGGCCCAGUCCAGUGAUCAUUUAAUUUGAAUAAAUGAAAUAGAAAUGGAUUUUUAAUAUGAAGAUAAUUACUAGAACUUAAUAAAUUCAUAGAAAAUUCAUACUAACUCCAAAUUAAUCCAUUCUAGUUCCUAAAAUUUUGUAAUUUUAUUCUCUACAACUUAGUGUCUCUGUUUUAUCAUGACAGCAGUAAGAAAAUUUAUCCCACACUUAAUCCUAUUUUAAACACAUAAAACCUUUGAAAAUCCAUAACUUAAAUUCUAUAACUCCAAAAAUUAUGAUUCCUGUUCCUAGAAUUUUAUUUUAAUGUGUAGAUUAUUACUGUGUAUUUUGUAUAUAUGUUUGGUGUAAUGUUAAUUUCUCUAUAUGCACUGUGCUUGUUUGUAUUGUGGCGAGUAGAAGAGCCCGUGACUGAGGAUCCUGGUGAGCAGCAGGUUGAAGUAGCUGAGCAGGAGCUCAUUGAAGGCAAGUUGUGCCCUUGACCACUUUUUACCUAAUAAUGUUCUUUAAUGUCACUUAUUCAUGCAUAGGUUAAUUUUGAUGGGACCCAAUAGGUCACCCUAGAUUGUUUAUCUCAUUACCUUGUUUACCCCUGAAUCACUUGGGUAGUUUGCUAUUGCUUUACAUGGUUUUGGGAUAAUCAUUUAUAUCUAUGUUCCAAUUAUUCUUGUUAUUCUAUUUAUGUUCAUGUCAAGUUCAUUAAUGUUAAUUGGAACAUAGAGCUUAACUUGAGAACCACGUGCCACCACAAGGGUUUAAUGGGACGCCCUUGGCUGACUAAUUAGGAAAGCUAGUGGAAGACUACCUUACCCGAAAGGGGCAAGGGCAGUAGGGGAGUGGUCAGUGUAGGGAGGUCCUUGGUUGAUUUUGCUGCGAUGGCGGUCAGACAAGAACCCUGCAUUGGAGCUUCCUAUAAACUGUAGCGGGUUUUCGGAAGCUAGUGGAACUUUGUAAAGGCCUCGUAGUGUUGCCCUGCCGCGCUUCCUAGGUAGAGGUGUAUGGGAUUCGCGACCCCUUGGCAGAUGGGUAGCAUGACUUGUGGGUAAAGGGUACAACCUCUGCAGAGUGUAAAACUGGUAUACUAGCCGAGCUCACGGUCAUGAGCAGCUCAGGACUCUCUGAUGAUUAAAUUAUGGAACUUAAAUUCAAUUUUGUCAUUUGCAUAUGCAUGGGUUUAUUAUUAAUUUUGUUCUAUUAUUUAUUAAGGUUUGGUAUUUACUUACAUCUAGUAAUUGCUAAUAAAAUUUUGACCAACAUUAAAAGCAAUGCUCAGCUUUAACCAUUCUCUUUGAUAAGCCUUGCACUCCAUGAGCUCCCACCUUUGGUGAGUUCAUGUCACAUUAUUCCCCAUGACUUGUUGAGCGAUGAACGUAUGUGAGCUCACUCUUGCUGUCUUACACCCCCCACAGGAGAAGAGCAGGUGGUUCAGGAGGAGCCACAAGGCGAGGAGUAUGAUCUGAUCUAGGUGGCGUUUCUCAGUUGACAUUGGCGCCGACGAUCCUUAGUUCGUUUUAUCUUUAUUACUUUAUUUUGUAAUAAGUCUUCCGCUAUGUAAUAAAUACUCUGAUGUUUUAUGACAUUUAUCUCUAUACACUCUGUUAUUAUAUAUGUUGUCUUCUUGGCGCAUGUAUGAGAUGCACCUGGCUUUGUUCCUUAAAGCUGGGUGUGACAGUUCCCAACCGCCCCGUGCCAGGCGCUGCUGCUGUGCACGCCGCACGGCAGCACACGACUGCACAGACGUCCCGGACUCCAUCGAGGGCGACUCCGGGAGCAUUGUCAGCAGCCAGGGAGUUGUUGCGACACCCUCCAAGCUCCACGGCCUCACUAGGGGCCAUGAAGCAAUGGCGGGACGACGUCGACCGACUACUCUGUAUGGCGCAUUCUACCUCGACCAGGUCAAGGACACGGUCAUCCCGGCGCGAAUACGAGGCAUCGGCGUCUGUGCGCUCGCCCUCAGUAAGGGGAGCUCAGACCAACGACCUCCGAGCAGAACUCGACCGCAGGCGUGCGGGAGAGGAUGCCCGAGUCUCCUUGGAAAGGGUGCGCGAGUGCCGCCAAAACAUCGGUGGUCGCAACCUCGAUCAAGACUUCGCUGCGGUUGCACCACAGACACCAAUGGGUAUCCGGUCUCAAACGGGUGUCCCCUUGGCCGGUGUGGGCUGCGUCGCUCUCGCAGAUCAUCUCCGCGCGGAGUCAUGGCCAUCCAAGUUCUGGCCGCACCUGCUGGAAAAGUACGAUGGAACAUCGUACCCGUCGAAGUUCUUGCAGGUGUACGUCACCGCCAUCACGGCAGCAGGUGGAAACACCGCUGUGAUGGCAACAUAUUUUCUUGUCGCCUUGUCUGGACCAGCCCGGACUUGGCUCAUGAACCUCGCCCCAGGGUCAGUCUACUCCUGGAAAGAGCUCUACGCGUGGUUCGUUGCGAACCUCGCCAGUGCUUACCAGCAGCACGGUGUGGAGGCCCACCUCCAUGCGGUGAGGUAGGAGCCCGGGGAGACUCUCCAGAAAUUCAUCUCCCGCUUCACCAAGGUGCGAGGUACCAUACCUCGCAUUUCUGAUGCUUCCAUCAUCACGACCUUCCGACAGGGAGUACGUGAUGAGAAAAUGCUGGAGAAGUUGGCCACACAUGACGUGGAAACUGUCCCCACACUCUUCGCUCUGGCUGAUAAGUGCGCCAGAGCCACCGAGGGCCGUGCAUGGCACUCGGCCCCACAAACCGGAGCUGCCCAGUCGGGUGGCACGGGUGCCGUCCCCCGGGACGGAAAGAAGAAAAAGAAGAAGGACCGCGAAUACCAGAAGUCGCGGUCCACCGCUCUGGUUGUCGCAGCCACGACCGGAGGCCUGGGCGACCGCAACAAACAUCCACGACCGCAGAAGGGUAACAGCAGCUCAUGCCCUGUACACCCCAACAGUCGCCACAGCUCUAUGGAGUGUCGCGAGAUCAUUGACCUCGCGAAGCGUGUUAGUGAGCGGCGCGAGCAGUCUUCCAAAGACGGCUCCCCACCUCGUCGCUGACCUGGCAAAGAAAAGGUGGACGACGGCGAGGUGGCCACGACUGAACGGGACCUCGGGUAUCAGUCACCCGAAGGGGACCUGAAGGAUGUCUUCGCUGGAGGCUCCUACUCUGGUGGAGACAACUAGACGGACCCCAGAGGGACCCCGUGUUCCCCGGUCUAUGGAGCUGAAGCUUGCCUUCCUCCGAAAACCCUUCCGGACUCCCCAUAGGUCCAGGCUUCUGACAGGUACAUACAGGAACGACCACAACCAAAGGCGAGGGCUCCCAUGUCAAAUGCAGAUGGGGACCCAGGGUCGGGACUUAGCCCUACGACAAGUACCAAACCAAGAAGGGCUCCGCAACUCUCCCCCAGCUGGGAAGGACCCUUCAAGGUAAUGGGAAUGCACCGACCCGAGGGCAACCAUCUAGCUACGACUAAAGGAGUCCCUCACCCUGAUGCUGAAACAUCUCUGUAAGUUCUAUCCAUAGAGCAAGUCUGAGGAGUCGAUUUAGUUUCCCUUUUGUAACCAGGUAGCACAUACGUGUACGCCAACCUAGUGGGGUCCGUCCCCAUAAACCCAGCCUGUUGGUCUGCACCCACGCAUGAUGAGUUAUAAAGAAAACUACCCCCUCGGUUGAGCCCCUAUGAUAGUUCCAUCUCGCUGCUCCAUGGUCUUACCUUGCAGUUUUUUAGAUAAUACUUUUUAUCUAACCCACCCGUACGGUUCCCAUAUGUACUGACAUGACAACAUCCAAAUUGAGCAGCCAGGCUUGCAGUUUAGGGCCCCCGAUACGAAAGUUGGGAGGUCCGACAGCCUGGGAGCCGGCUCCAGAGAACGAAACCCCAUUCCAUGGGAUGGUCCGGAGCAUGUGUGGCCGCUUAGCCUGGUCCCGUACCCGAAAGCCUGCACACUCCACCACUCCGUGACGGGUACCUAGUAUUUAGGGCUAUAAGUCCUGUGGGUCCGACAACCUCGGGACCGGAACUAGAGAAUGAACAUUAGUCUUUUGGGGUGGUCCGGAGCCCGUGUAGCCGCUCAGCCUGGUCCCGUACCAUGGGCCUGCACGCUCCACCGCCCUGCGACAAGUGUCCUAGUAUCUAGAGUCGCGAGCCAAGGGGGUCCGGACACGCAACUUGGCCACCCGGGCUGAAACCUGUGAGUCUCGAACAUGUAUCAAAGGAUGGCUAAUGUCAGAUAGGGGACCCUAUGGGUGUACUACUAACGCUCCUUAGCUGAAGCUGUGAACAGAUCCAGACCUCGGUGAGGCUGCUUCCCGAGAACUAUUGACAACCUUUUCAGAUACGCUGGUAUCCAACCUCAACAAAUCAAGCCUGCAUCCCAGGCGGUGGGGGGGGCAGGUACCAGGGAGGAGUCAACAAUAUCGCACACAACAAAAAAAAGUUGAAAAUAGAUAAGUGCUAAUACUGCUUAACAAAUAGUACUCUUGAGUACCUUACAAAAAGCGAAAGUAUUACAUCUGUUUUUCAAGUGGAGCCCUAGUUCCAUCUCUACUCUGCAGGUAUGAACUACCUCCACACCAGUAGGGCCGCGGGAUAGCUAGCUCCGAGCGGCUCGCCAGCGGAGGCGACCACCUCUGCACCGACGACUCGCCAGCAAUGGCGAUCACCUCAGCACAUGCGCCAUUACGAAAAGGUCCUCGCCCCCGUCUUCCUACGGGGGGGCAACAAUGAGGCCAUUAAAGCUAAAGAGUCGGAAGGCUCGGUGGCAGGUGGCGCUGAUGGUCUCGCCAGCGGAGGCAACCACCUCUGCAACGGGCAGCCUCACCAGCGGCGGCGACCACCUCAGCACCAACGACAGCGGCCACCUCUGCACCGGUGGGCGGCGACUGCCUCAGCACACACGAAGAGGUCCUCGCUCCUGUCCUCACUGCGGGAGUGAGGACAAGACCAUCCAAGAACACGGCCGCCGCCCUUGCGGCGUACGACGUCUUGUACGGCCCCCCGGUGCGGCCGUCGGCACAGGAGAAGCCGUGGAUGUGGCGGACCUACGCACGGCGCGACCGUCGCCCGUGCGGUGGACAGGCAGCCACGCCCCAACCAAACGACAGGAGGCAGCAUCGGAGGCGGCACCAAGGCCAUCCAAGCCGGGGAACCGGGCACGCGGCGGACGGUGGCGCCUGCAGUCGGCCGGCCUCGCGUACCCGAAGUUCACCUCCUCUGCAAGGCUGGUGAACGCCCUUCUCCCCCAAAUAUUGGAGGAAGAAGCGGGCCGCCAUCCCAUGCGGAAGGCGGGACCCCAACUCGUCUCGCCCUCCUCCCCAGCGCGGAUGAUGAACAUCCUUGAAGCUGAGGGUAGGGGGAGGCCACAGCCCAGCUCUCUUCUCUCCACCACAAGGCUGUUGGUCAUCCCUCUAGAUGACCACUGGCGGGAGAUUGCAGCCGGGCUGCAUGAUGAAAAUCCUUGAAGCCGAGCGAUGGAGGAAGAGCGCCAACCCCUAUAGGGUUGCGCUCCUCUAACAGCAGCAAGAAGAAGACAAGAUCGACAGCACCACCACGAGCGCGAGCUCUCCGGUGGUGAGAUCGCCGGAGGGGGCGGCCCUGACACGGAUCCCUCCAGAGAACACCGGCGCACCCCAUCUGGAGGCCCGGAAGGCAGAAGGGCGCGAUGAAUGCAAGAGGAGCAAGGCAUGGCUACUGGCCGGGAGAUCGAUCCCUUUUUAAAGGCAGAUCUUCCCACUCGCGCCCCGAAGCGUCACGGGCAAGGUCUCCCCCUAUGUGCACCAGGGUUCCCACCCUAUGACACGGGGGCCAAGCCCCACAUGUCAUACUGACUGACCCAAAUAACGAAGAAGGCGAACCACCACACAAGGAGCAUACAACUGCCCCGCGGUUAUGCGCCCCUUCAUUUUCGGAGCAACCAGUGGUCAGGAAGGCGAACCGCUGCACAAGGAGCAUGCACCCGCCCCACGGUCACGCGCCCCUUCGUUUUCGCCGAAACCAGCAGUCAGGAAGGCGAACCGCAACGAAGGAAGCGUACAACCUCCCCGUAGUUGUGCGCCCCCUCAGCUUCGCUGCAACUGGCGGUCCGACAUGGGGGCCCAGGUCCAGAUGUCAUGCAGCCGGCGCGCCAGUUACCGGGUGCGGAAAAAUCGCACCGCCACUCUCGCCAAUGCCACGUCUUCUCGGGGCCGACGCGGAAGACUGAAAAGAUAAGUUUCCAAAACUAGUGCAGCGACUCGAGGCAUCCCGUGCGUGGCCCAACAGUGGCUUUAAGUACGAAGGUCGCGGGCCAUUCAGUCGUGGGAAUAGGUGUAGCAGUCGACAUGACCAUAGGCGGGCCGACAGUAAUUGCGUCAACAGGCGCGCAGGAGCAGCAGGCCAACCGCUAAUCAGACUAUGGCCCCACCUGCAGGCUCGCAUCUUCCCCUGAGGCGGGCCUAGGGGCCACUGUCGGUACCCUGAAUCAGGGGUACCCUCUUCUACAGCAUGAAGACGAUGUACACGUACGACGCCUCUAGACCACACGGAGAACGGCACCCGACCCCACCACAUGGGCAGGUCUAAGGGCACCAUGUGGCAAGGAAAGAUAAUACAUCCCAGGAUGCAUCAUUGGGUCCGGGCCUCCAUAAAGGGACACCGGACCCCUGUACGUACAAGUCCGGAGCUCCCAAGAAGGCAUGUCAGGUCCCUCGGGUAGGCCUCGGGUCCCUCCGAGUAAGGUCCGGGCCUUGGCAAGGUCCCGGGAUGGGGAGGACCUCGACAUGAGUAAGGGUCCGGUUCUGGCACGUGUCCAGGCCUUGCCCUACGUUCCCCACUCAGGUCGAGACCCGCUGCUACCGCGUGGCUUGUGGCCCAUGACAUAAGCCAACGGGCCGAGCCUGACGAAAAGCCCCUAAAGCCGCACAACCUCUGCAUUUAUUGCGGAGAGGACACGCCGCCUGCCACCAUGCUGACGGAUGACAUGCCCUCUCAGCAUUUAAUGUGUCCUGUCCAAUCCGCUAGUAGACGGCGUCAGGGUCAUCCAGCAGACGAUGCGCCUGUCCAGUCUGUUGACGAACAGUGCGCCCAUGCCGUGCGGCGUACUGUGCUCACCUGUCACACCCGGAUUUUAGGGGUCCAAAACCCGGGCGCGAACAUAAUCACCAGGUGUGCUGGGACCAAGUCUCACACAUAUGAUGAAUCAUGGCACAGGAUCAAAUGUCACAUCUUUACUAUAUAAUAGGAGUUCUAUACAAAAUAAAUAAAUAAUUACAUUAUAAGGAGACAACGGUCCAGCAACCCAAAGUUGACUGGGAGACGACGACCUAGACCUCCCACGAAGACAUCGCAGCAUCCUCCAUGCGCCUCAUCCUGCGGUACCUGUUCUUGACCUGUGGGGGGGGGUGUGAGACAGCAAGAGUGAGCUCACAUACGUUCAUCGCUCAACAAGUUGUGGGGAAUAAUGUGCAUGAACUCACCAAAGGUGGGAGCUCACGUGAAGUGUAAGGCUUACCAAAGAGGAUGGUUAGAGCUGAGCAUUGCUUUUAAAGUUGGUCAAAAUUUUAUUGGCAAUUACUAAGUAUAAGUAAAUACCAACCCAAUUAAGUAGUAGAACAAAAGUAACAACAUCACCUGCGAUGCAAUGCAUAUGACAAAUUGAAUUUAGUUCCAUAAAUUAAUCAUCAGAGAGUCCUGAGCUGCUCAUGACCGUGAGCUCGGCUAGUAUACCAGUUUUACACUCUGCAGAGGUUGUACCCUUUACCCACAAGUCAUGUUACCCAUCUGCCAAGGGAUCGCGACUUCCCAUACACCUCUACCGAGGAGGCGAGGCAGGGUAACACUACGAGGCCUUUACAAAGUUCCACUAGCUUCAGAAAACCCGCUACAGUUUAUAGGAAGCUCCAAUGUAGGGUUCUUGCCUGACCGCCAUCGCAGCAAAAUCAACCAAGGACCUCCCUACACUGACCACUCCCCUACUGCCAUUGCCCCUUUCGGGUAAGGUAGUCCUCCACUAGCUUUCCUAAUUAAUCAGCCAAGGGCGUCCAUAAACCCUUGUGGUGGCACGUGUUUCUCAAGUUAAGCUCUAUGUUCCAAUUAACAUUAAUGAUCUUGACAUGAACAUAAAUAGAAUAACAAAAUAACUGGAACAUAGAUAUGAUAAAUAAUUAUCCCAAAUCCAUGUAAAGCAAUAGCAAACUACCCAAGUGAUUCAGGGGUAAACAAGGUAAUGAGAUAAACAAUCUAGGGUAACCUAUUGGGUCCCAUCAAAAUUAACCUAUGCAUGAAUAAAUGAUAUUAAAGAACAUUAAUGGGUAAAAAGUGGUCAAGGGCACAACUUGCCUGACACUUGAGAUCAGGUACCAACUUGCUCUUCAGAUGACACGUGUCCUCACUGCUAAACGUAGCAAUACAGACAAACACGGUAUAGGCAAAAUGAACAUCACACCAAACAUAAGAUCAAACUGCAUAAUAAUAUUCUACGCUGCUUAACAAGAUUGUAGGAACAAGAAACAAUAAAUUCGGAGCUACGGUUGUUAAAUUAUGAAUUUCUGAAAUUAUUAAGCACUUAGAAUGGAUUAAUUCAAAUGAACAAUUUUAAUGUAAGUUUCAUGGUUAUACAGUGUUACUAGGUGGUAGACAAUAUUAAAACAAAAUUAUAGAAACUGGAAUGGAUCAAUUCAGAGUUAGAAUGAAUCAAAUAUGGAUUAAACAAGUUUAUGGAUUUAUUUUUAAACUAAAAAUCCUCUUUCUGAAUUGUUUUAUCCCAUUUAUUCUCUGAUUGGACUGGGGACACUAUUUUGCGAGAGACUAGGGGUUGACGUAUAAAAUCCCAUAGACUUAGUCCAACCCCGCAGUGGACCGCUGGUUGAUUUAUAUUAACGCGAGGGACUCUUUUGAGAAGUUGCCACGCGAAGGGGUAUGCAAGGAUCACGGCCGUUGGAUCGGCCAUAAAUGGCUCGGAUUAAAUUUGUCUUUAAUCCAAAACGGUAUUCAAUCAUCACCGUUAGAUUUGCUAUCGACCGUCCAGAUCUAAAAUAACUGAGCCAAAUCCACCGCGUACACUACCCGAUCUACGGCGGAGGUGAGCCCAAACUGAAAGGAUAUGCGUGCACAGAUCUGGGCUGUCCAUCACAGAUCGGACGGCCACGAGCUUCUCUCCCUUACCUCACUCACGGUCGGCCAAUCCCAGGUAGCGGCGGCGUUCUGCCCACAAACCGCGGCGGCGGCCAUGGCCGGCACAAGCCCGAGCAACGUCCGCGCACGAGACUUGAAUUGAACUGGUGCAUCAAAGUAAGGAGGGCAACGGGAACUUCAUCGACGAUUUCUUACCCAGGGCAGACAUGGGAAUAUCCUAGCCACGGCGGGGACGGAUACUGCCCAUCCAACGAUCAAUCCACUGGUGAUGAGGUCGACAUUGCCCAUAUCGAUGCCGGUGAUGGACUCCAUACCUCCUGGCGAUUACCCGCGGCGAGGUCGAGUACACCGAACGUCGGCGGGGGCAAAGAACCAUUGCGGCUACACCUUUUUUUCCUCUCUCUCCCUUCUCGGUUCGCUCUCCCGCGGACAUGGUGGCGCUGCUGCGAGGCGAAAGGACCUGCGGCACAAGGUAGAGGGCGAGAGGGGGGGUCGGUCCUCUUAAUACCCUACAGCGAGGGGAUUCCGGCCUGGUGGUUGGAACGGCCAGCGGGAUCCACCCGAUCCCGGCGGCGGACAUCGCGGCGUACAGAGUCCGAGCGCGGGAUCUGUGAGGUUGAGGAUUGUGCUGACAACUGGGGCCCACCCAACAGAGACACGAAGUGUGAAAUGCGGGCGUAGAGUGCGGAUGGAUGGCCGACCGAGCGGCUGAGGAUGCGGGUCCACAUGUCGGCGCAGUGGGGAGGAUUGGCUGGGCUGGCAACGCGAGUGAGAUGGGCCGAGGAGGGUAGAUUCGGCCCACGAGGCUGAUCGGUUUGAUCUUUUCUGUUUUUUUAUUUCAGAGUUCCUUCUCCAAAUUUAAUUCAAAUUCAAAAUUCCUAUUUCAAAUCUCCCAAGUGUCAGAAUUAAUACUAAUAUAAAUAAGAACUCUACUAUUUUCAACAUUAUUAUUUAUUAUUUUCCUUAUUAUUUAUUUAUGGGAGGGAUAAAUGGUUGCAUUAAAAUUCCCUCACUCAUUUUCUUAAUUCCUUUUCUAUUUUUUUAAACUUAAACUUGUCUCAUACAUUUUGAUGCAACAUAUAAGAAAACUUUAGUAUGAUAUGCCUAUUUCUAUAUUUAUUUAUUUGUUAUUUGUACUGCUUUAUUUCUCUUAUGUGAGUAUGCACAAAGAAAAGAAAAAAACACAUAAUUCCCAAAACACUUUUAUGUAAAUCCAUGUAUUUAUUAUUAUUAUUAUUUUACCUUAUACUAAUUUUAGGGCUUUACAAAUCCUACCCCCUUAACAGAAAUCUCGUCCUCGAGAUUUGUAAGAAAAGGGUUACAAUAGGUUUGGUCUAGAAUUUUAGUUUCUCAUUUGGUUUUGGGAAUCAAAGUUUUGUUCAAGUUUUUUUUACAUAACAGUUAGUAGAUGAUUUGGAAAAUAUGAGUAUUGUAUGUCUAGCCAUUUAUUAGGUCAGAUGAGGUACGAUUAUGGCCAGUGGAGGUUGUGGUAAGGGUAUGAUAAGGAGAGACUUCAUCCUGAACUCUGGAUCUUGAUUCCUCUGGCGAUCCAACUUGAUCUUUGAAGACUUGAGUUGAUGCUUAUCCUCCUUUGAUGUGGUUGGUCUUCUUUGGCCUUUAUUCUUGUUGUCAUCCGAGUUAAGGACAUAUGGCUAAGGAUAUAUAAUUAGGAUAGCCGGGGUACACGAGGUAGGUAGGUUUGAACAAAGUUUUACUUUGCUUUUGUGAUAUCUGGAUUAGACAACCUAUGAUGUAGGUUAGGUUGUUGUUUACGGACGAGUUAGUCCAAGGUAUUAAUUUAGGGCAAGAUGAAUCCAUAAGGAUAAGGUAGAAUCUUUUGAGGUCAGUUAGAUUUAUUAGGGUGACAUAAGAUCUUUUCAAGAUAAAAUGAGUCUACUGAGGUAAUAGAGUAUAUUUUAAGAUAAGAUGGAUCUAUUAAGCUAGAUAUAUUUUAAUUAGGAUAAGUUAGGAUCUUUUGAGAUAAGAUGGAUCUAUGAGUGUAGGAUAGAAUCUUUUAAGAUGAGAUGGAUAUUGUUAGGUUAGAUACUUUAAUGAGGGCUAAUCUAGUUUGUCUAGUUAUUUUAUAAGCAUUUUUUUCCUAUAUGUAUAUGCAGAUGUAAUUGUGGACAUUACUCCACAACUAAUCACACUCAAUCAAAGAUCCAAAUCAGACAAGUAUCAUAAGAACAAACAUUCAAGCACAUAGAUAUGUAUAAAAAUAUUUUUGUUUUGUUCCUAAGAUUAGGUCUCAUAUUCCUAAAGGUCACUUUAGGCACAUGAUUUCAAAAUGUGAAAUCCACAUUUGUCGUUAGAAUGAAAAGGUAAGAAUAAUCAGAGUAAAGCGGAAAUAGAUGAGAAAAGAUUAAGAAGAGUUUAGAAAGGAUCAGAGUGGCAAAGGUAAGUAGAUAAUGGUUGUCCAGUUCUAUCUAGGUUUCGUCCUACAGUCAACAUUCCUCUGAUACCACUUCUGUCACACCCAGAUUUUAGGGGUCCAAAACCCGGGCGCGAACAUAAUCACCAGGUGUGCUGGGACCAAGUCUCACACAUAUGAUGAAUCAUGGCACAGGAUCGAAUGUCACAUCUUUACUAUAUAAUAGGAGUUCUAUACAAAAUAAAUAAAUAAUUACAUUAUAAGGAGACAACGGUCCAGCAACCCAAAGUUGACUGGGAGACGACGACCUAGACCUCUCACGAAGACAUCAUAGCAUCCUCCAUGCGCCUCAUCCUGCGGUACCUGUUCUUGACCUGUGUGGGGGGGGUGUGAGACAGCAAGAGUGAGCUCACAUACGUUCAUCGCUCAACAAGUUGUGGGGAAUAAUGUGCAUGAACUCACCAAAGGUGGGAGCUCACGUGAAGUGUAAGGCUUACCAAAGAGGAUGGUUAGAGCUGAGCAUUGCUUUUAAAGUUGGUCAAAAUUUUAUUAGCAAUUACUAAGUAUAAGUAAAUACCAACCCAAUUAAGCAGUAGAACAAAAGUAACAACAUCACCUGCGAUGCAAUGCAUAUGACAAAUUGAAUUUAGUUCCAUAAAUUAAUCAUCAGAGAGUCCUGAGCUGCUCAUGAUCGUGAGCUCGGCUAAUAUACCAGUUUUACACUCUGCAGAGGUUGUACCCUUUACCCACAAGUCAUGUUACCCAUCUACCAAGGGAUCGCGACUUCCCAUACACCUCUACCGAGGAGGCGAGGCAGGGUAACACUACGAGGCCUUUACAAAGUUCCACUAGCUUCAGAAAACCCGCUACAGUUUAUAGGAAGCUCCAAUGCAGGGUUCUUGCCUGACCGCCAUCGCAGCAAAAUCAACCAAGGACCUCGCUACACUGAACACUCCCCUACUGCCCUUGCCCCUUUCGGGUAAGGUAGUCCUCCACUAGCUUUCCUAAUUAAUCAGCCAAGGGCGUCCAUAAACCCUUGUGGUGGCACGUGUUUCUCAAGUUAAGCUCUAUGUUCCAAUUAACAUUAAUGAUCUUGACAUGAACAUAAAUAGAAUAACAAAAUAACUGGAACAUAGAUAUGAUAAAUAAUUAUCCCAAAUCCAUGUAAAGCAAUAGCAAACUACCCAAGUGAUUCAGGGGUAAACAAGGUAAUGAGAUAAACAAUCUAGGGUAACCUAUUGGGUCCCAUCAAAAUUAACCUAUGCAUAAAUAAAUGAUAUUAAAGAACAUUAUUGGGUAAAAAGUGGUCAAGGGCACAACUUGCCUGGCACUUGAGAUCAGGUACCAACUUGCUCUUCAGAUGACACGUGUCCUCACUGCUAAACGUAGCAAUACAGACAAACACGGUAUAGGCAAAAUGAACAUCACACCAAACAUAAGAUCAAACUGCAUAAUAAUAUUCUACGCUGCUUAACAAGAUUGUAGGAACAAGAAACACUAAAUUCGGAGCUACGGUUGUUAAAUUAUGAAUUUCUGAAAUUAUUAAGCACUUAGAAUGGAUUAAUUCAAAUGAACAAUUUUAAUGUAAGUUUCAUGGUUAUACAGUGUUACUAGGUGGUAGACAAUAUUAAAACAAAAUUAUAGAAACUGGAAUGGAUCAAUUCAGAGUUAGAAUGAAUCAAAUAUGGAUUAAACAAGUUUAUGGAUUUAUAUUAAACUAAAAAUCCUCUUUCUAAAUUGUUUUAUCCCAUUUAUUCUCUGAUUGGACUGGGGACACUAUUUUGCGAGAGACUAGGGGUUGACGUAUAAAAUCCCAUAGACUCAGUCCAACCCCGCAGUGGACCACGGGUUGAUUUAUAUUAACGCGAGGAACUCUUUGGAGAAGUUGCCACGCGAAGGGGUAUGCAAGGAUCACGGCCGUUGGAUCGGCCAUAAAUGGCUCGGAUUAAAUUUGUCUUUAAUCCGAAACGGUAUUCAAUCAUCACCGUUAGAUUCGCUAUCGACCGCCCAGAUCUAAAAUACCUGAGCCAAAUCCACCGCGUACACUACCCGAUCUACGGCGGAGGUGAGCCCAAACUGAAAGGAUAUGCGUUCACAGAUCUGGGCUGUCCAUCAUAGAUCGGACGACCACGAGCUUCUCUCCCUUACCUCACUCACAUCCGGCCAAUCCCAGGUAGCGGCGGCGUUCUGCCCACAGACCGCGACGGCGGCCAUGGUCGGCACAAGCCCGAGCAACGUCCGCGCACGAGACUUGAAUUGAACUGGUGCAUCACAGUAAGGAGGGCAACGGGAACUUCAUCAACGAUUUCUUACCUAGGGCAGACAUGGGAAUAUCCUAGCCACGGCGGGGACGGAUACUGCCUAUCCAACGAUCAAUCCACUGGUGAUGAGGUCGACAUUGCCCAUAUCGAUGCCGGUGAUGGACUCCAUACCUCCUGGCGAUUACCCGCGGCGAGGUCGAGUACACCGAACGUCGACGGGGGCAAAGAACCAUUGCAGCUACACCUUUUUUCCCUCUCUCUCCCUUCUCGGUUCGCUCUCCCGUGGACAUGGUGGCGCUGCUGCGAGGCGAAAGGACCUGCGGCACAAGGUAGAGGGCGAGAGGGGGGGGGGGGUCGGUCCUCUUAAUACCCUACAGCGAGGGGAUUCCGGCCUGGUGGUUGAACGGCCAGCGGGAUCCGCCCGAUCCCGACGGCGGACAUCGCGGCGUACAGAGUCCGAGCGCGGCAUCCGUGAGGUUGAGGAUUGUGCUGACAACUGGGGCCCACCCAAAAGAGACACGAAGUGUGAAAUGCGGGCGUAGAGUGCGGAUGGAUGGCCGGCCGAGCGGCUGAGGAUGCGGGUCCACAUGUCGGCGCAGUGGGGAGGAUUGGCUGGGCUGGCAACGCGAGUGAGAUGGGCCGAGGAGGGUAGAUUUGGCCCACGAGGCUGAUAGGUUUGAUCUUUUCUGUUUUUUUUCAGAGUUCCUUCUCCAAAUUUAAUUCAAAUUCAAAAUUCUUAUUUCAAAUCUCCCAAGUGUCAGAAUUAUUACUAAUAUAAAUAAGAACUCUACUAUUUUCAACAUUAUUAUUUAUUAUUUUCCUUAUUAUUUAUUUAUGGGAGGAAUAAAUGGUUGCAUUAAAAUUCCCUCACUCAUUUUCUUAAUUCCUUUUCUAUUUUUUUAAUCCUAUUUUAUUUUUAAACUUAAACUUGUCUCAUACAUUUUGAUGCAACAUAUAAGAAAACUUUAGUAUGAUAUGCCUAUUUCUAUAUUUAUUUAUUUGUUAUUUGUACUGCUUUAUUUCUCUUAAGUGAGUAUGCACAAAGAAAAGAAAAAAACACAUAAUUCCCAAAACACUUUUAUGUAAAUCCAUGUAUUUAUUAUUAUUAUUAUUUUACCUUAUACUAAUUUUAGGGCUUUACAUCACCACCCCUUCUACAAGAAGUUUCCCCUGCACGCCGAGGAUACGCAGAUCUCGGAUGUCAGGGCACAAGAAGAUUGCCCCAGCAGCGAACAUUUGUAGCUCCAAGCGCUAUAUUCAUUAUGUCUCUGGGCCCACAUAUCGGGGUUCAGUACCUUUGUGCAUGCCCCCUUCAGCUAUAAAAGGGGAGGCAUGCGGCGUUACAAGACAGAUCCAAUCUUAGGCUCACUCAGACACUCACAAGUUCAUACAAGCACUCAAGCAAUACAUCACACAGUGGAGUAGGGUGUUACGCUCUGACGGCCCGAACCACUCUAAAUCCUUGUGUGUUCUUAUGUUGUUCCCAUUUUCUGACUAACAAGCAAAACGCCUAGGCCCCUCCUCAUCUUAGGAUUUAGGACGGGUGCACUCCGCCACCCGGCCGGAGAUUUCCUCUCCGACAGUUAUAAAAUCACAACUUUUACAUAUAACCGGAUGAAUAUAAAGUUUAUAUAAAAAUUGUAGAGCUUGAAGAGAUCUAUAACUUUAUAGUACAUCAUAUUUUUGUUGAACAUAUCUUAAGGUCGAAAUCAUUGAAAUAAUAUCCAAAUUUAUAUCAAAUUAAUAGACUUUAUCAUUUUCAUAUGGGGACUUAAGGUUAUCUUCAUGUGGGGACUAAAAGUUAUCUUCUUAUAGACUAUUUAUUAGUCUUAGUAACUUAUUUGCCAUUUUUGGUGAUUUUCUAUAGAAAGAAAUUAAUAUUACACAAAUAGCCUAAAUAAUUCAUGAAAUUUUGUGGAGGCCUAACAUAUGUUCAUAAAUGAUCAUAAAAAAUAUUUGGAUCAUAAAUCUCACAAGAUGUUAACAUUUCUUCCAUUUCAUUUACAAUUAUUGCGUGAGUUACGCGUGAAAUCAUUCUAUGUAUCCAUGUUUCAACAUAAUCAAUACUUCACUUAUCAUUUUCAUGUGGGUACUUGAGAUUAUCUUAGUAUAGAAUGUUUAUUAGUUUCGACAACUUAUUUGCAAUUUUUGUCAAAACUAGAAUAUUUUAUGAAUUUAAUUGCAUUUUGAUGAUUUUCUAUAGAAAGAAAUUAAUAAUACACAAAUAGCCUCAUAAAUUCAUGAAAUUUUACGGAGGCACAACAUAUGUCCACAUAUAGUCAUAAAAUAGUGGGACCAUAAAAUCCAUAAGAUGUCAGCAUUUCUUCUAUUUCACUUCCACGUCUUCGCGUGAGUUACAUGUGAAAUCACUCUAAGUAUCCAGGUUUCAGCAUAAUCAAUACUUCUGUUUACCAUUUUUGUGUGGGGACUUGAGGUUAUCUUCUUAUGAAAUGUUUAUUAGUCUUGAUAAUUUAUUUGCAAUCUCUGGUCAAACAAGGAUAUUUUAUGAUAAGCAAUUCAUUCAUUAUCUAGCAAGUAUAUGAUACCGGAUAAAAUAAUAUAUGUAUCCGUCACUUAUCCGCACGAAUAAAUAUCUGGUCCAUGUAUCCAUAUCCAACCCAUUUCUAACUAUCCAUAUCCGACCCCAAUUCCAAUUGAAAUACAUUUGGGUAGGAUACAGGAUGAUCUACUAUUCGUCUCGUUUUCACCCCUACAUUUUAUUGUUGGUAUUGUCUUUAUGAUCAUUUAUUUAGUUAGGAUGGUAUAUACUUAUACUUAGUAACUGCUAAUAAAAUUUUGAUCAACAAAAUUAAAGCUAAUGUUUAGCAUUAGCCAUAUUCCUUGGUAAGCUUACACUGCUUUUUUCCCUACACAUUUGCUGAGUAUCAACCAUAAGUGUACUCACUCUUGAGGGAUUUGCUGCUCGGAAUUAGGUCAACAUGAAGAAGAAUACUAUGAUGAGUUCGAGGAGUCUAGGCUAUGUCGCUCCGGUUCACCUAUCUGUGGCUUAUGAUCGGGUCGUCGUCGUCGUGAUCAUCGUUUAGUUUCUAUUAUUUAGUUAUUUUGUAUAGACAUUUUACUUAUACAAUAAAGUUUGUGGCACUAGUUUCUAUACAAUAAGUCAUCAUAUGUGUGAAAUUUGAUCCUGGCACACAUAUGAGAUACAUCAGGAUUUGUCCUUAAAUCCGGUUGUGACGCCGACCAUGUUGGUCGUGUGAUAUCCUGGCCCCUGAGAUGGUGUUUUCCUAGCCCAAGGCUUAAUAGAAUUAAUAGAGUAUCCAUACCAACAAGGUGCAUCUUCUUUUUCAGAAGCCUAUCUCGAAAGAAUUUCCAUGUUAAGCGUGCUUGGCUUGGAUCGAUUUGGGAUGGGUGACCAACCGGGAAGUUUUCUCAGGUGCGCAUGAGUGAGGACAAAGUGUGCAUAAAAGACUCGUGUUGGUCUGUGGGGACGAUAUAUGAUCCUAGAGAGCUGCCAUGAGUAAGUACCGCCGGUCCAGGGAUUGGACGGGGUGUUACAGGUCGGUAUCGACCGCGCAUUAGAGUCCUGCUGGUAUCCACCAUGUCUGGUCGGUACCAACCACCUAGUGCCGAUGUGGUAGAUUCUAUUCAGUAGAAUCCAUUUUAAUCGUUGGAAUUCAAAAAAAUCAAAAAACUUAAAUCCUCCCAUUAAAUAUAGAGGGGGUGUAUGGGUUCAUUCGCACCCCUCACUCUUCAAUUCACAAGCCUUCUUCUCUGUUUGUUGUCGCCCACUCUCUAUCUUGCAUGAAUCCAAGGUGGAUUCUUAACUUUGAUAUGUUCACCGACUUGCACAACAAGCAAUCUCCACAAUAUCUUGAGACCCCCUUUUGGUGUGGGCAGAUCUUCUCCGAUGGUCUUUCUCCUAUCCAACAUUGGCUAGAAGAUGUUUAUGUUUGUCUUCAUUUCUUGACUCUCCAACCAUUGUUCCAUAUUCGUAUCCAUGCUGACCAUCCAUUGAUGUUCCUCCUCCUACCACUGAACCAAUUACAUCCAACGCUCCUUCUCCUCCUACUAGUGAAGUUUCUUCCACCGAUGUUACUCCUCCUCAACCUUUCACUUAUUCGUACCUUCCUUCAUACCUGUACUUGUAUGGGUAUCCAUAUGAUGAUCCUCCCUCAUUUCUUCCUCUAUAUGAUGCUCCUCUAAUAUAUGGUGCUCAUGCUCCUUUUUACCCUUCCAUAGGCAUGACAAUGCCCCCAAGCAUCCAUAAGGAUGCAGCCUCCAACUAGUCCACAUACUCUGGUGUGACUUAGUUCCAACGACAAAUGGAUUGGACUAGUAUGGAGGACAAAAGACUCGUAAGUAUUAAGUACAUAUAUAUUUUUAUAAAUCAGACACAAGUUUUAGCUCGACAACAUUUUUUAGUUCAUAAACUUGUAGAUCCACGCAUGGCUAUUGCACUCUAUUGACCCCAUUAAGAGAAAUGACAAAAAUGGAUCUAUCUUUUUGUAUAAGCCAAAUAAUAACUAUGUGCAACUCCACCUCAAAACCUCCUCACCAUAAUACCCCCAAGCAACCAAAGGACCAGUGGUCCAUAAGCAAUCAUAAGGUCACCCUCUUCAAUGACACCUACAACCAAUUAUCCAUGGCAUGGCUAGUGGAGCAAAUUGUGCUAUGCUUCUCAAAGUGGAAAAGAAGAGCUUCCACAAUAGGCCUAGUGAAACGUACUUUCAACUAGAGCACAUAUGGAGUGCUCUUCACCAGUAGCCCAAGUGGUGCGCGUGGCAUGAUGAUGAUGACGCUAGAUAUACAAGCAAUCGAUCACGUCUCAAAAUAGAAGUUGAUUAUAGCUCUGCAUCGCUAGACAAUGUCGGACCCAUAUGACAUAUUGGCCAUGAUAGGGAAAGAGCGCAACACAAAGGGAAGGGGCCAACAACGAGUAGCAUGGUGAACAAGCUCUACAAGGCUAGCUAGAGGAUAACACAAUCAAAAUUAUUUGAGCACUUCACCAAGUUAUUAGAUCAGUCAACCAUCAAUAUGGAUGAUGUCUUGAAAAAGACACAUAGGUUGGGUGUAAAAAAUGACCAAGCAAUUGAAACUAGAUGAGGAAGAAAAUGUGGAACUGAUAGAGGAGGGUGAUGACGAUGAGUAGUAGUAAUGUAUUAUUUUUUUACAAACAUGUAUUUUUAUUUAAAAAAUACAAAUUUAUUUAUUUUAAUUAUGUAAUUUUAUUUUCUUAAUUGAAUGAUCAGAUGAUUUUUCCAACAAAAUAUAGUGUAUUGUUUCAAAUACAAAUCGGUAAAAGAAAAAGAUAGUGUGGUGUUGACGUGACUAUGGUUGACAAUAAACUUGUAUAAAGUCUUAUAAUUAAUAAGGGAUCAUAGCACGAUUGAUAGUGUGAAUGAUAGCUGAUGGUGAUAAGUGUCGAGUGCAUUAGAUCUAGCCUAGGCCAUAUGGAUUAUGUUAUCGCAAGCCUGGAUCACUAUUCAUAGUAUGAAAUAUGUUAAAGUCUAUGGCAUAUUGUCAAAAGUAUUGAGAUUCUUAAUAUGAAUUGAUGCUAAAAUGCUUUUGCACAGACAAUUGAUGAUGCAAGAGGAUAUAUUAGCAGGGUGGGCUCAAUUAUAUUAAAUGGUAUUCGAUUGAAUAUCUAGUUUUUUGGCAAGAAAAAUUAUCUAUUUAGUGUAUAUAUGUAUACAUACUGGACAGAAGAAAAAUGAAGAUAAAUAAAUAUACAAUGAAGAAUUGGGUCCAAAAUAGACUUUUCUACUAUCCCCUCCCCAUCCUUGGACUAAUGGCCCAUUUUGGUCGAAGAAUGUAUAAGGCAAAAAGCCAAAAACAACUUGGCCUCCCCAUCCUACCUAUUCACUCUAUUUCUCAGCCUCACACCUAUGACUGUUGAAAGCAUCUAGGCCCUCAAAAGUUAUGAUGAUUAAUGACAACAUAAGAUUAUUGUGACUAAUUCGUGUUGCAUAGGCAAAUUUGAGUUAGAUCAUAAUGAUGGAGAAUGGUUUAGACAAUGUAUGUUUUCUAUGCCCCUACUUAUGAAUUUCGUUGUGGUCUUCAAAAGGAUGAAAGACAAGGUUAAGAAUCAAUUAGUUCUAAGUUUCGAUUGGAGUUGAGACACUCAGAGUAGUUUGGGACUUAGUUGUUCCUUUUACCAUACUAUAAAGGGAGUAGUUUAGGACUUCACUUUUCCUUUGAUCGUACUAUAAGGGGAGUAUAAACUAGUAGCUUGACUAAAUAAGUCUAAUGAGUCUAGUGUGGCAUAAACUAGUUGUUUUUAACUCUAGCUGACUUAGAAGGGGCCAAAAACUAGUCAGGAUCAAAACUCAACUCUUAAGUUUCAAAAUUGGACAAGUUAGAAGGGUUUCAAUGUCUUAGACCUUGUGUUUUACGGUUAUUAGACCAUAGUGGAUUAGUCUAAUUCCUCCACAUAGACAACAUGAGAGCACCCAAUCAUCAAACCCUAAAAUAGUACCUCAUCGAACCAAUGCAUUGGGUCCAAUUGUUUGUGUGAUCAGAUGGAGAGCUCUAGGGGUACGCCGGAUUGGUUCGAUGAUAUGUGUCAGACUGAACAAUGGCACUAUUUCAGCUACGGUUUUGGCUACAGGGUCAUCGGGCGCUAUGAACAGUUGCCUCAUUGAACCAAAGAGGAUAAGUCUAACAAGUGUUGCCCAAUGACUAGAGAGAUUUUUGUGGGCAUCAUUGUCGGCGUUUCGACCCCGGGUGGUCCCUGGACCGACGAGUAAAUUGUCGUUGUGUGUCCUAGCCCAGAUGGGUCGACGCGAGAUGGAACACAAGGGGGGAAAAGGGAACCGCGGCUCGUGUUAUCCUGCACCCAGGGCGGAUGCGCUUGCAGUAGGGGGUUACAAGCGUUCACGAGAGAGGGAGAGAGCCUGUUCGUCAGCCCGUCCUCCCGCGCGGCCACCUCCUCAUACGAGGGCCCUGGACCUUCCUUUUAUAGAUGUAAGGAGAGGGUCCAGGUGUACAAUGGGGGAUGUAGCAAUGUGCUAACGUGUCCGGCAGAGAGGAGCCAGGGCCCUAUGUACAUGCCGACGUGGCUGUCAGAGAGGUGUUAGUGCCCUGUGCAUGUGAUGUCGUGGCCGUCGGAGGAGCACUUGAGCCCUGUAGAAGCACAGCUGUCGGGGCUGUCGGGUCCUUGCUGACGUCUCCUUGCUUCCGUAGGGGCCUGAGAACCGCCGUCGUCAUGGGAGCACGCGGGGUGCCAUCAUUACUUGUUUACCGGGGCGAGCCAGAUGGGACGCUGGUCUUGUUCCCCAUAGCCUAAGCUAGCUAGGGGUAGGGUAAUGAUGUACCCCCCUGUAACGUGGUCGGUCCGAGCCCAAGGUCGGGCGAGGCGGUGAUUCCUCCGAGGUCGAGGCUGAGUCCGAGCCCUGGGGUCGGGCGAGGCGGAGACCGUCUUCCGGGGUCGAGGCGGAGUCCGAGCCCUGGGGUCGGGCGAGGCGGAGAUCGUCUUCCGAGGUCGAGGCGGGGGCCGAGCCCUGGGGUCGGGCGAGGCGGAGCUUCCUAUGGCGCCUGAGGCUGGACUCGGCUGCUGUCAGCCUCACCCUGGCGGGUGGCACAGCAGUCGGAGCAGGGCAGGCGGCGCUGUUUUCCUAUCAGGUCAGUCAGUGGAGGGGCGAAGUGACUGCAGUCACUUCGGCCCUGCCAACUGAGGAACGCACGUCAGGAUAAUGUGUCAGGCGAUCCUUGCAUUGAAUGCUCCAACGAUACGGUCGGUUGGCAAGGUGAUCUGGCCGAGGUUGCUUCACUGCGAAGCCUACCCGAGCUGGGCCACGGGCGAGUCGAAGGUGCGCCCGUUGCUUGAGGAGGCCCUCGGGCGAGGCGUGAAUCCACCUGGGUCUACUGUUCCUGCCCGAGGUUGGGCUCGGGCGAGGUGAGAUCGUGUCCCUUGAGUGGACGGAGCUUUGACCUGUAUUGCGCCCAUCAAGCCUUUGCAGCUUGUGCUGAUGGUGGUUACCAGCCGAGUUUAGGAGUCUUGGGGGUACCUCUAAUUAUGGUCCCCGACAAUCAUACUAGUCCGACAAUGAGUGUAGGAUCAUACGUCGAAGGCUAAGUUUUAAAUGACCAGUUCUGACAUGGCACAAUAGUUACCAUUGUGUCUCAUCAGACCCUACAUUAAGGUACGACAAUGAUCGUUGGAUGGUAUGGUGAUGUUGAAUUUAGCCUAACUUGGCAGUAAUGGUUGGUUAGCUGGUUUGGGACUACAAAUAUCCCCAUCAAAUGGCCAGCACACCUACCCUUGUCUUCAUUUAAUAGCCAAAGUAACCCAUAUAUUGUGAGAUAAGGAGUCAUUGCAUAGUGGGGGACUUGAGAGUCGGAUUCAUAAUUUUAUUGUCCUAAUUAAUGCAAACAAGAGAUAUUAGUGUGCAUCCAUUAAUCACAUCAGUUUUUUAGAGACAAUUGAUAAUUUGUGUUUACUACUCUUGGUGACUAGCAUCACCUAGAUGGUUUGGUGGCACUUGAAGUGCAACGAGCGUCUAGAGAGAUAGUGGGUGGCCCAACUGAAAAACUAUAUAUGGUUGUGAGCGGUUCACCGUGAUGAAGUGGAAAAGAACUAGCUUGCAGUGAGCACUUAGUCCUUGUGCGAAUCAAGGGGGGUGAAAACCUUAUGUGGUUGCUCCAAUAAUGAGGAUUAGGGAAGAACGUCGACUCUCUGUGACAUCAGAACGAACUUGAGGAAUCUUCUAAAUCCUUGCAUUACUUUCCACAAUUAUGUUUGUACAAAUUUACAUUGUUAGAUUUGCCAUGAUGCAUAGUGUUGAAAUUAAGGCACAAAAUUUUUGUAUACACAUUAGACACUCUGGUGAAAUUAAGCUUAUUAUAAUUAGGAUAUGCAUAUGUAUUGUGAUGAAGAAAAGAAAUGAAGAUCAAUAAACAUCUAGUGACAAAUUCAAUAUAAAAUAGAUUUUUCUACUCCCCUCCCCUCCACACCCGGGGAAAUCCUCAGCCACCCUUCCCCACCUAUUCACUCUCUUUCUCGGUCCCUCCCGUGAGUGUAACUGAAAAGGUGGUGAUCGGAAACACUUCAAGCCCACUACUUCUCCCCGUUUGGAAUUAAACACCAAUAAGGAAGAUGUUAAAAGAAAUAGGGAUGGUCAAUUCUUGUGACCCUAUAAAAUUUUCCUCCUUCCAAAUGAAAUAUCCCCCUUUGUUAUAAGAAUUUGUUCAAAAUAAUUUGACCGUUGCAAUAAAUAGACUAAAUUGAUCCUAUAUGUAUGCAUAAAUAUGAUGAAUAGCAAACCAUAUGAAUAACAUAGUAAUGAAUUGAAAGCAUGUGGGAGUUUAACCUAUACGAAGAAAGCAAGCAAGAGAUACUAAAUACUCUUGAAACCAAUAUGCAUGGUAUUAAAGUUGAUACUAGUAUUGUCGGCGUUUCGACCACGGGGGGUCCCUGGACCGACGAGUAAAAUUGUCGCUGUGUGCCCCAGCCCAGAUGGGUUGGCGCGAGAUGGAACACAAGGGGGGGGGGAAACCGCGGCUCAUGUUAUCCUGUGCCAGAGGAGGAUGCGCUUGCAGUAGGGGUUACAAGCGUUUGCGAGGGAGAGAGAGAGUGUGUGAGCCGGUUCGUCAGCCCGUCCUCCCGCGCGACCCCCUCCUCCCGUAUAAGGGCCUUGGCCGUUCCUUUUAUAGAUGCAAGGAGAGGGUCCAGGUGUACAAUGGGGGUGUAGCAAUAUGCUAACGUGUCCGGCAGAGAGGAGACAGAGCCCUAUGUACAUGCUAACGUGGCUGUCGGAGAGGUGCUAGAGUCCUUUGUACGCGGUGUCGUGGCCGUCGGAGGAGUGUUUGAGCCCUGUAGAAGAACAGCUGUCGGGGCUGCUUGGACCUUGCUGACGUCUCCUUGCUUCCGUAGGGGGCUGAGAACCACCAUCGUCAUGGACGCACGCGGGGAGCCAUCAUUACUUGUUACCGCGGCGAGCCUGGAUGGGACACCGGUCUUGUUCCCCCAUAGCCUGAGCUAGCUAGGGGUAGGGUAAUGAUGUACCCCCUGCGGCGUGGUCGGUCCGAACCCAAGGUCGGGCGAGGCGGAGACUCCUCUUGAGGCCAAGGCCGGGGUCGGGCGAGGACGCGAUUCCUCCCGAGGUCGAGGUUGAGGCCGAGCCCUGGGGUCGGGCGAGGUGGAGACCACCUUCCGAGGCCGAGGCGGGGGCCGAGCCCUGGGGUCGGGCGAGGCAGAGACUUCCUCCUGAGGCCGAGGCCCAAGGUCGGGCGAGGCGGAGCUUCCUGUUGCACCUAAGGCUGGACUCAGCUGCUGUCAGCCUCACCCUAGCGGGUGGCACAACAAUCGGAGAGGGGCAAGCGGCGCUGUUCUCCUGUCAGGUCAGUCAGUGGGAGGGCGAAGUGACUGCGGUCACUUCGACCUUGCCGACUGAGGCACGCGUGUCAGGAUAAGAUGCCAGGCGAUCCUUGCAUUGAAUGCGCCUGCGAUACGGUCGGUUGGUGAGGCGAUUUGCCAAGGUUGCUUCACUACGAAGUCUGCCCGAGCUGGGCUUCGAGCGAGUCGAGGGUGCGCCUGUUGCUUGAGGAGGCGUGAAUUCACCUGGGCCUACUGUUCUCGCCCGAGGCUGGGCUCGGGCGAGGCGAGAUUGCGUCCCUUGAGUAGACGAAGCCUUGACCUGAAUUGCGCCCAUCAGUCUCUACAGUUUGUGCUGAUUGUGGUUACCAGCCGAGUUUAGGAGUGUUGGGGUACCCCUAAUUAUGGUACCUGACAGUAGCCCCUGAGCCUCAAAGGGAGUGUUGGUACUCGCUUGGAGGCUUUGUCGCACUUUUUUGCAAGGGGACCAACCUUUCUCGGUUAUAUUUUGUUCCGGUGGGUGCGCGCGAGCGCACCCGCCGGGUGUAGCCCCUGAGGCCUCAGAGGAGUGGUUUGACUCCUCCAAGGUCUUAAUGCCUUUAGUGAUGCCUUGGCCAGUCUGGUUGUUCCCUCAUGCGAUCUGAUCGUAGCCCGGGUGCAUGGUCAGGUUCCGAGUUUUCAGGCUGGUCUGUUGACGCUGUCAACGGUUUGGCCGUAGCCAGGUUUGCGAGAGCAGCCCCCGAGCCUCUGCAUGGAGCGAGAGGACGAUCAAGGACUGACUCGACUUUUAUCAUACGCCCCUUCGUCGCCUUUCCGCAAGGAGGAAGGGGGGAAAGCGCCAUGUUGCCCUCGGAGGGCGCCGAACAUGGUGUCUCCAGUGAGUUGCUAACGGGUGAUCCGAGUGGACGCCCGUGCCCCGUUCGAUAAGGGUCGGCUAGUGGCCCAGAGGCGCGCUCCAAAAGUACCUACAGGUGAUUUGCCAGACCCGGUCCCGUUCGAUAGGGUCCGAGGGCUCGAUGCCUCCCUCUGAUGGGAUUCCGUUACAAAAUCGCUCCUGCUGGUCUCGGAAAUGUCCUAGGGUACCUCGGGAGCGUAGCCCGAGCCUCGGCCAUGUAUCGGUCGUACCCAGAGUCAUCCCUCGCUCUGCGUGCUCUGGGGCGACUGUCGAACCCUUCCGAGGGGCCAGCCUUCGAACCCCUGAUCAGUAGUGGGCGCGGAGCCCGAGUGCUCUGAGGCGGCUGUCGAACCCUUCCGAGGGGCCAGCCUUCGAACCUCUGAUCAGUAAUGAGCCUGAAGCCCGAGUGCUCUGGGGCGGCUGUCGAACCCUUCCGAGGGGCCAGCCUUCGAACCCCUGAUCAGUAGGAGGGCUUGGGGCCCGCUUCCUUCGCGGAGAAGGAUCCCUUUCAAAAUAUCCCCUUUCCCGGUCCCUGUGGCAAGAGAGAGAAAGGGGAAGAGGAAAAGGAUAUGAAUUUAAACGGUGUGGCGCACCUUCUUUGAUGUGGUCAUCAUGGCGGAGGUGAAACGACGCCCGCUUCUCCUGCCAAAGGUGUCGCUUGCCCUGCCGCGAAGUUAAUGCUAUGGGACGGGUGGUUCACAGGGCGGUCGUUGCGCGAGCCGUUCGAGGGAUGGAACACGGACACGUCGUCUUCACGCCGUGGGAGAGGGCUCCCCUGCUGCUCUAGGAGGGGACGUGAGCCUGCAGACGACUUGACUGCUGCUUCCGCUCGCCUGCUGCCGCCAUUACUGUCGGCCUAGUUUUGGCCAUAUCGACCAUCACGCCUCCUCCCGCGGCUGACUGACCCGUGACCGAUGUGCUCGGUUGGCACUGUUGGGCCAUGCGCAGGGUUGCCUCGAGUCGCGGCACUGGCUCCGCAGUCGAGAAGGCGCGGCGUUGGCGCAAAGGGCGGUGCAGUUUCUCGCACGUAGUAACUGGCGCGCCGGUUACAUGAUGUGUGGGCCUAGGCCUCCAUGCUGGAUGCGUCGAAGUCGAAGGGGUGCGUCCCCGUGGUGCGCUUGCACGCCACCUGCAUGGCGGUCCGCCCUUUCAACCACUGGUUUCGGCGAGGAUGGAGGAGUGCUUAUAACCGCGAGGCGGUUACACGCUCCGCGCGCGAUGGUUUGGCUUCUUCUGUUCCGGGCCAGCUUGCAUGACGUGUAGGACCCUGCCCCCAUGUCGUAGGCGGAGGACCCUGGAGCACGUUGGUGAGGACUUAGCCCGCGACGCUUGAGGGAGAGCCGCCUUUAAAAAGGGAUCGAUCCCCCGGGCGGUAGCCAUGCCUUCGCACUCCCCUCAUGCAUCGCGCCCUUCCACCUUCCGAGCCCCCGGAUGGGGAGCGCCCGCGUUGCCUUCGUCUUGUUGUUGGAGGAGCGCAACCUCACGGAGGUUGGCACCCUUCAGCCAUCGCUCGACUUCAAGGAUUUUCAUCAGGCAGCCCGGCUGCAUUCCCUCACCAAUGGUCACCCAGGCUGGUGACCACCAGUUCGAUGGUGGGGAGAAGCAAGUCGGGCUGCGGCCUCUGCCCCGCCCUCAGCUUCAAGGAUCUUCAUCAUCCUUGCUGUGGCGGGGGGCGAGCUGAGCCGAAGCUCUACCUCCCGUAUGGGCCGGUGGGCCACCUCUUCCUUCAGCAUUCAGGGGAGAGGGCACUCACCGGCCUAGCGGAGGGGCGGACUUCGACAACGCGGGGUCGGUCGGCCGCAAGCGUUGUCAGCUCCAGCAUGCCUGGCUCACUGGCUCAGCUGGCUCUGGCGCUGCUUUUGGUGCCACCUCCGACCGCUGGGGCGGAGUGUGGCUGUCCACCCACCGUACGGGCGGCUGUUGUGCCAUGCGCACCGGGGGACCGUCCAAGACGUCGCUCGCCGCUAGGGCGGCGUUCGUGUUCUUGGAUUAUCUUGUCCUCACUCCGGCACGACCCCUCCGUGUGGAGGUCGGUGCCUGCCCGUCCGCGAGGACUUGAGUGGGGUUCUGCCAGUGCAGGCUGGGGUGGCUACCAUUUCAUUGGCGUAGCGCCGGCGUGCAGGUGGCCGCUGUUGUCGGUGCUGAGGUGGUGGUCGCCAGAGGAGGUUUCUCCGCCGACGAGAUUGUCGGUGCCACCUGCGGCCGGACCUCCGGCUCUUUGGCUUUGAUAGCUUUUCCUCGCCCCUCGAGUGGGGACGUGGGCGAGGGCCUUGCCAUAGCAGCAUCUGCCCUGAGGUCAUCGCCGCUGCUGUUUAGCCGCCCGGAGCGGAGGUCGUUGUCGCUGCUGCUGCAGUGGUCGGCGGUGAGCCACUUGGAGUUUGUCGUCCCACAGGCCCUCUGAUGUGGAGGUUGUUCAUACCCGCGGGAGUGGAACCGGAGUUCCGUUUGUAAUGGCACCUUGAGUGCCGGUGUGUGUUCAUUGUGGCUGUCGGGGCCUGAACAUCUGGGGAUUUGGGCGUGAAGCCGUGUUUCUCCCUCAUUUCGAGCGCCGUAACUCACCUGUCGGCUAGCUGAACUGCUUAACCGAGUGUGAGUUGCCCUGUGCGGAAGGUUACGAGUGAGAUAUCCGUAUCCCAGAGGCGUAGGAGUCCCUCGGCUCGGUCGACCUUACCACUCAAGGCUUCUCUUGCUCAGUUACGGAACCCUCGGCCGCUCUACGAUGAGCCGGAGCCGGAGGCAGCGGUGUCAGCGUGGACAGAGGUGGAGUCGGCUCGAGAAGAGGCUUUGUCGGCCCGGGGGCACGUGGCUUCCCUGGCCGGGCCCUGCGUCAAAAUUUUCCUCGGAAAAAGUCUUUCUGCCAGAAGAUCUUUCACGCUUUUCGACUGCUUCGAUAGCGGGGUUCCCUGGCCAAGGAGGCGCAGCAGCGGCGGCUGGAGCCUAGCCAGGUCAUCCGUGAGUAGGACCAACUUCGGAGUUAGGCUGCCGAGGCCGUGAGCCGGGCUGAUGUCCUCGGGGGACAGCUGGCUGAGGCUACGGAGCCGCCGGUCGAGAUGUCUGCUCGGGCCGGGACCCUAGAGGAGACCCUGGCUGCGAUGGCCCAAGCGCGGUGCUGACGUCUUCCUUUGAGGUGGAGAUCCUUCCGCCCGUGUCGCCGUCCGAGGCCGGGCCAGAUUUCGCCGAAGGUGGAAACAACACCGAGGGUGCUGCUGUUCCCUCUGUCGAUGUCUGAACCUGCAAGAACAGUUUGUCUGUAGUGUGCGUAUGUUUUUUGCGGCCGCUGAGGCCCAAACACUUUGUUGUCGUGUUAUAAAGCUGUGUUUCUUUUCCUCUCAUUUCGAGUAUCAGGACUUGUUCGUCAGUAGCAGAAUCACUUAUCCGAGCGAGAGUUACUUAUCGUGGAAGGUGAUGAGUGAGGUAUCCAUUAUCCCGGAGGCGUAGGAGUCCCUCGGCUCGGUCAGCCUUGCCGCUUACGUGUACUUUUACUCGUCCGCAGGAUUCUGUUAUCGAUAUAGUCGAUAAGGCACGAAAAUCAUUCUGGCAGAAAAGUUUUCGAGCGUUGAGACUUGUUCGGCAGCAGAAUCGCUUAUCCGAGCGUGAGUUACUUAUCGCGGAAGGUGAUGAGUGAGGUAUCCGUAUCCCGGAGGCGUAGGAGUCCCUCGGCUCGGUCGGCCUUGCCGCUUAUGUGUACUCCGUCGUUUUCAGGACCCCGCUAUCGAAGCAGUCGAAAAGCGCAAAAGAUGUUCUGGCAGAAAGACUUUUUCCGAGGAAAAUUUUGACGCAGAGGGGGUUCCCCCCUUCUAGCCCCCGAGGGAGGGUCUGGCUUUGCCGAGGCAAGGCUGACCCUUCCUUGACGGUUAGACUCUAUUUGUGUAUGUAAAGAAAACGAGGCAUAUGAACAACUCGAAACAUCUUAAGGGUAGAAGCGACGUAGCUAUCGGAUGUUCCAAACGUUGCUGUAGACCUCACCAUGAUCGUUGGCCAGCUUGUAUGUCCCGGGCUUCAAAAUCUUGGCGAUGAUGAACGGCCCUUCCCAGGGGGGAGUAAGCUUGUGGCGCCCUCGGGCGUCUUGCCGCAGCCGAAGCACCAAGUCUCCCACUUGGAAGUCUCGGGGCCAAACCCCUCGGGCGUGGUAGCGUCGCAGAGACUGCUGAUACCGUGCCGAGUGUAGCAAGGCCACAUCCCGAGCCUCUUCCAGCUGGUCCAGCAAGUCUUCUCGGUUGGUCUGAUUUCUUUGGUCGUCGUACGCCUUUGUCCUCGGGGAACCGUAUUUUAAGCUAUGGGCAAGAUAGCCUCGACCCCAUAGACUAGAAACAACGGUGAGAAACCCAUGGCUCGGCUUGGCGUCGUCCUCAGACUCUAGACUACCGAGAGUAGUUCCUUCAUCCACCACUUGCCGAACUUGUUGAGGUCGUGGUAGAUCCUUGGUUUAAGUCCCUGCAGAAUCAUGUCGUUGGCACGCUCCACCUGCCCAUUUGUCAUGGGGUGAGCCACGGCUGCCCAGUCCACCCGGAUGUGGUGGUCCUUGCAGAAGUCGAGGAACUUCUUCCCAGUGAACUGGGUGCCGUUGUCGGUGAUGAUGAAAUUCGGGACCCCGAAGCGAUGGAUGAUGUUGGUGAAGAACGCCACCGCCUGCUCGGACCUGAUGCUGGUUAGGGGUCGGACCUCGAUCCACUUGGAGAAUUUGUCGAUGGCGACCAGCAGGUGCGAGAAGCCCCUGGGUGCCUUCUGCAAGGGACCAACGAGGUCUAGACCCCACACAGCAAACGACCAAGUGAUGGGUAUUGUCUGCAGGGCCUGAGCGGGCAGGUGCGUCUGCCUCGCGUAGAAUUGACACCCCUGGCAGGAGCGUACAAUCCUAGUGGCGUCGGCCACCGCGGUUGGCCAGUAGAAGCCCUGUCGGAAAGCGUUCCCAACGAGGGCUCGAGGUGCUGCGUGGUGACCGGAAGCCCCCGAGUGUAUCUCUUGCAAUAGCUCCUGCCCUUCGGCGAUGGAUAUGCAUCGUUGGAGAAUGCCUAAGGGGCUGUGGUGGUAGAGCUCCUUUUCAUUACCCAGUAAGACGAACGACUUGGCGCGCCGCGCCAGUCGCCGAGCUUCGGCUUUGUCGAGGGGGAGCUCUCCUCGGUGGAGAUAUUGUAGGUAGGGGGUCUGCUAGUUCCGAUUAGGCGUGACCCCAUUCCGCUCUCCCUCGAUGCGCAGUGCCUCACCCUCGGCGGCCGAGGAUGCCUCGGGCUGGGUCGAGGCCUCCUCGGGUCGGGCCGAGGCCUCCUCGGGCUGGACCGAGGCCUCCUCGGGCUCGGGCGUGUCGUCGGUCUUGACGGAGGGUUGAUGUAUGUCUCUGGAGAAGACGUCCGGGGGAACCGUUGUCCGCCCCGAGGCUAUUUUAGCUAGCUCAUCCGCAGUCUCGUUAUAGCGUCGAGCGACGUGGUUGAGCUCGAGCCCGUAUAACUUGUCUUCCAGGCGCCAAACCUCGUUGCAGUAGGCCUCCAUCUUCCUGUCGCGGCAGUGGGAGUUCUUCAUGACUUGAUCAAUGACAAGCUACGAGUCGCCACGAGCGUCGAGGCGCCGAACCCCUAGCUCGAUGGCGAUGCGCAACCCGUUAACCAGAGCUUCGUACUCGGCCACGUUGUUUGACGCCGGGAAAUGGAGGCGCAGCACGUAGCGGAGGUGCUUCCCGAGGGGUGAGAUGAAGAGCAGGCCCGCGCCGGCUCCUGUUUUCAUCAGCGACCCAUCGAAGUACAUGGUCUAGAGUUCCGGUUGGAUCGGAGCUGUUGGUAGCUGGGUGCCGAUCCAUUCAGCCACGAAGUCCGCCAAGACUUGGGACUUGAUGGCCUUCUGAGGAGCGAACGAGAUUGUCUCGCCCAUGAUCUCCACCACCCACUUUGCUAUCCUACCCGAGGCCUCUCGGCACUGGAUGAUCUCCCCCAGGGGGAAGGAUGACACCAUAGUUACCGGAUGAGACUCGAAGUAGUGUCGCAACUUUCGCCGCUUCAGGAUUACUGUGUACAGUAGCUUCUAAAUUUGCGGGUAGCGGAUCUUGGUCUCGGAUAGCACUUCACUGAUGAAGUAGACCGGCCUCUGGACGAGCAGUGCAUGCCCUUCUUCUCGUCUCUCGACUACGAUCGCGGUGCUGACCACCUGAGUGGUCGCGGCUACGUAGAUCAAGUGGGCUUCUCCUGCAGUGGGGGGCACCAAGAUGGGCGCACUUGUAAGGAGUGCCUUUAAGUUUCCAAGGGCUUCCUCGGCCUCGGGGGUCCAAGAGAAGUGCUCGGUCUUCCUCAAGAGGCGAUACAAGGGUAGGCCCCUUUCGUCGAGGCGUGAGAUGAAGCGGCUCAGAGCUGCAAGGCAUCCCAUGACCCUUUGUACUCCUUUCAAGUCUUUGAUAGGCCCCAUGUUGGUGAUGGCCGCGAUUUUCUGCGGGUUGGCCUUGAUGCCCCGCUCAGAGACGAUGAACCCCAGGAGCAUGCCUCGGGGGACACCGAAGACACAUUUCUCGGGGUUAAGUUUCACGCCCUUCGCCCUCAGACACUUGAAUGUUGUUUCAAGGUCAGAGAGAAGGUCGGAGGCUUUCUUCGUCUUGACUACGAUGUCAUCGAUGUAAGCCUCGACCUUUCGGCCGAUGUGCUCUCCAAACACGUGGUUCAUGCACCUUCGGUAUAUCGCACCUGCAUUCCUCAAACCAAAUGGCAUAGUAGUAUAGCAGUACAUGCCAAAAGGUGUGAUGAAAGAAGUCGCGAGCUGGUCGGACUCUUUCAUCUUGAUUUGGUGAUACCCUGAGUAGGCGUCGAGGAAUGACAGGGUUUCGCACCCAGCAGUGGAAUCCACGAUUUGAUCGAUGCGAGGCAGAGGGUAGGGAACCUUCGGACAUGCUUUGUUUAGACCAGUGUAGUCUACACACAUCCUCCAUUUCCCACCUUUCUUUUUCACAAGCACAGGGUUGGCUAACCAUUCGGGAUGGAAUACCUCUUUGAUGAACCAUGCAGCCAUCAGCUUGUGGAUCUCCUCGCCUAUGGCUCUGCGCUUUUCUUCGUCGAAACGGCGCAGAGGCUGCUUCACGGGUCGGGCACUGGCUCGGAUAUCCAGUGAGUGCUCGGUGACAUCCCUCGGUAUCCCGGGCAUGUCCGAAGGACUCCACGCAAACACCUCGGCGUUUGCGUGGAGAAAGUCGACGAGCACUGCUUCCUAUUUGGGGUCGAGCUUGGAGCCGAUCCGGACUUGCUUGCGGGCAUCGUUGCUGGGGUCGCGAGGCACGGACUUAACCGCCUCUACUGGCUCGAAGUUGCCGGCGUGGCGCUUUGCAUCAGACACCUCCUUGGAGAGGCACUCCAGGCCGAAGAUGAGGGCCUCAGAUUCGGCGAGGGCCUCAGCAUACUCCACGCACUCCACGUCGCAUUUGUACGCGUGUCGGUACGUGGAUCCGACGGUGAUGACCCCGUUGGGGCCCGACAUCUUGAGCUUGAGGUAGGUGUAGUUGGGGAUGGCCAUGAACUUGGCAUAGCACGGUCUCCCCAGCACCGCGUGGUAGGUUCCUCGGAAUCCGACCACCUCGAACGUGAGGGUUUCUCUGUGGAAGUUGGAGGGAGUUCCGAAGCAGACGGGCAGAUCGAGUUGUCCAAGGGGCUGGACGCGCUUCCCGGGGAUGAUCCCGUGAAAGGGCGCCGCACCGGCCCGGAUCGUGAACAGAUCGAUUUCCAAGAGCCCGAGGGUCUCGACGUAGAUGACGUUGAGGCUGCUGCCUCUGUCCAUGAGGACCUUGGUGAGCCUGACGUUGCCGAUGACGGGGUCGACAAUGAGCGGGUACUUUCCUGGGCCCGGCACGCAGUCGGGGUGGUCGCCUUGGUCUAAGGUGAUGGGCUUGUCGGACUAGUCUAGGUAGACUGGCGCCGCCACCUUUACCGAGCAGACCUCCCGGCGCUCCUACUUGCGGUGCCGAGCCGAGGCGUUCGCCACUUGCCCAUCGUAGAUCAUGAAACAGUCGUGGACCUCAGGGAACUCCUCUGCCUUGUCGCCCUCCUUGUCGUUGUCUUGGCAUUUGCCACCUUCCGCCGGGGGCCCAGUCUUAUGGAAGUAGCGCCGAAGCAUGACGCAUUCCUCAAGGGUGUGCUUGACGGGACCCUGGUGGUAGGGGCACGACUCCUUGAGCAUCUUGUCAAAUAGGUUGGCUCCUCUGGGAGGCUUCCGAAGGUUCCUAUGCUCGGCGGCAGCGACAAGAUCUGCGUCGGCAGCGUCGCGUUUCGCUUGCGACUUCUUCUUGCCUUUCUUCUUCGUGAUGCGCUGGGCGGACGCCUCGGGGACGUCUUCCUGCUGGCGUCCCUGAGGCUGCUUGUCCUUCUGGAAGAAGGCCUCGACCACCUCCUGACCAGAGGCGAACUUGGUGGCGAUGUCCAUCAACUCGCUCUCCCUGGUGGGAGUCUUGCGACCCAGUUUGCUCACCAGGUCGCGGCAAGUGGUGCCGGCGAGGAACGCGCCGAUGACAUCCGAGUCGGUGAUGUUGGGAAGCUCGGUGCGCUGCUUCGAAAAUCGCCGGAUAUACUCCCGCAGGGAUACCCCUGGCUGCUGGCGGCAGCUUCGGAGAUCCCAGGAGUUCCUAGGGUGCAUGUAUGUGCCCUGGAAGUUUCCAGCGAAGGCUUUGACUAGAUCGUCCCAGUUGGAUAUCUGCGCGGGAGGCAGAUGCUCCAGCCAGGCUCGGGCGGCGUCGGAGAGGAACAGGGGGAGGUUGCGGAUGAUGAGGUUGUCAUCGUCCGUUCCACCUAGCUGGCAGGCCAGCCGGUAGUCCGCAAGCCACAGUUCUGGCCUUGUUUCCCCCGAGUACUUGGUGAUGGUAGUCGGGGCUCGGAACCGGGUUGGGAACAGCGCCCGUCGUAUGGCCCGGCUGAAGGCUUGCAGACCAGGUGGUUCGGGCGAGGGGCUUCGAUCCUCCCCACUGUCAUAGCGUCCCCCACGCCUGAGGUGGUAGCCUCGGCACACCUUUUCGUCGAGGCGGGCUCGACCGUCGUGGUGGCGGUGCUCGUUGAUGAGGCAACCCGGGGCUGCAAGCAUCGCGUCCCUCGUGCGCCCGGUGUGGACCGAGGCUUCCCGCAUGAAUCAGGAAGUCGCGGCGUGAUGCUCCGGGGGGUACCCUUGCCUUCGAGAGGCAUAGCUCUCGGCCUGUCGGACCGCGGCAUCCUCCAAGAGAUUCUUGAGUUCUCCCUGGAUACGCCGCCCCUCGGUGGUGGAUGGCUCCGGCAUCGCUCGGAGUAGUAUUGCCGCUGCAGCCAAGUUCUGGCCGACCCCACUGGAAGCUGGGGGCAGCCUUGCCCUAGCAUCGUCAGUGAUACGGCGCUGGACGUCCUGGGCCUGAUGACACGCUUCUCCGGCUAGUGCUCGGCCUGCCCACUCCUGCUCGAUGUUUUGCCGGAGCUGCACAAGUUGUCCUGCUUCCUCGUCGAGCUUGGCCUGCAUCUCGCGGAUUUGCUCGAGCUGUGUGUCCUGACCCCCCGCAGGGACUGGUACCACAGCUAGCUCCCGCAGGAUGUCCACGCGAGGCCCAGGCCCAGGGGGAUCAUCGUCCUCCGGCAUACCAAGGUGGUUGCCUUCGUCGUGACCCCCUAGAUCGAUGUGGAAACAUUCGUGACUUGGGCCACAACCUUCGUCGUCAAGGCUGUGGCCAUCAUCGGAGCAAUGGGAGAGCCAGUAGUCUCAUGCGGUCAUGAAGUCUCGCAUGGCACUAGGAUUACCGAGCCCGGAGAAAUCCCAACCAGAGUCGGGCUCAUCGUCUUCCUCGGAACCCGGGGGCCCAUAGGUCGAGACGGCCGCCAGUCGGUCUCAGGUUGACCACAUAUGGUACCCCGGAAGGUUAGGAUAUGCCUUUAUGAAAGCGCUCACCGAAGCGGGAUCGCUUGGUGGAUCGAAGCUGAAUCUAAAAGGCACAGAGUGGAAAAUGGACGGUACCUCUUGAUCGAUGGACGGUGACGAGGUCGCGUCGGGGACGGACCGCACUGUUAUCUCAGGUAUGAGGCUAACGCCCAGCAAGUCCUCCACGGGAGUGCUAGCGUCAUCUGUCCUCUUGGGGUUGGCGUGUUGCAGGGAAACGACGCUCGUCGUUGUCCCGGGCGCGAGGGCAACGACAGACAUGUCCCCCGCUGGGGUGCCAGCAUCGUCGACUCGCUCGACAGCCGACGAGAUGUCGCCUCCCGCCUGGCCAUGAUUGCCCCGCCUCCUCCUCCUGCGGUGAGGAAGGCGGCAGGACAAACCCGGAUGCUGCUCUUCCGCCACGGGGGGAAGACGUCGCCAAGUCCGCCGCCGCCGGGCGGGCUGACGGCCGUCGUUGUCGCUGCCGCGCUGCGGGGGAAGGAGUACCAUGUCGUAGCUACCGUCGAGGGACAUGAACUCGAGACUCCCGAAACGGAGCAGCGUCCUGGGCUGAAGAAGUUGCUGGAGACUACCCAUCUGGAACUCAACGGGAAGUUGUUCGUCAACACGCAGCAGGCCCCUACCUGGCACGCCAACUGUCGGCGUUUCGACCCCGGGAGGGCUCCCUGGACCGAUGAGUAAAAUUGUCGCUGCGUGCCCCAGCCCAGAUGGGUUGGCAUGAGAUGAAACACAAAGGGGGGGACCGCGGAUCGUGUUAUCCUGCGCCAGAGGAGGAUGCGCUUGCAGUAGGGGUUACAAGCGUUCACGAGGGAGAGAGAGAGAGAGAGUGUGUGAGCCGGUUCGUCAGCCCGUCCUCCCGCGCGACCCCCCUCCUCCCGUAUGAAGGCCUUGGCCCUUCCUUUUAUAGAUGCAAGGAGAGGGUCCAGGUGUACAAUGGGGGUGUAGCAAUAUGCUAACUUGUCGGGUAGAGAGGAGCCAGAGCCCUAUGUACAUGCCAACGUGGCUGUCGGAGAGGUGCUAGAGUUCUGUGUACGUGGUGUCGUGGCCGUCGGAGGAGUGUUUGAGCCCUGUAGAAGCACAGCUGUCGGGGCUGCUGGGACCUUGCUGACGUCUCCUUGCUUCCGUAGGGGGCUAAGAACCACUGUCGUCAUGGACGCACGCGGGGAGCCAUCAUUACUUGUUACCGGGGCGAGCCUGGAUGGCACGCUGGUCUUGUUCCCCCGUAGCCUGAGCUAGCUAGGUGUAGGAUAAUGAUGUACCCCCUGCGGCGUGGUCGGUCCGAGCCCAAGGUCGGGCGAGGCGAAGACUCCUCCUGAGGCCAAGGCCGAGGUCGGGCGAGGACGCGAUUCCUCCCGAGGUCGAGGUUGAGGCCGAGCCCUGGGGUCGGGCGAGGCGGAGACCACCUUCCGAGGCCGAGGCGGGGGCCGAGCCCUGGGGUCGGGCGAGGCGGAGACUUCCUCCUGAGGCUGAGGCCCAAGGUCGGGCGAGGCGGAGCUUCCUGUUGCGCCUGAGGCUGGACUCAGCUGCUGUCAGCCUCACCCUGGCGGGUGGCACAGCAAUCGGAGAGGGGCGAGCGGCGCUGUUCUCCUGUCAGGUCAGUCAGUGGGAGGGCGAAGUGAUUGCAGUCACUUCGACCUUGCCGACUGAGGCACGCGUGUCAGGAUAAGAUGCCAGGCGAUUUGGCCAAGGUUGCUUCACUACGAAGCCUGCCCGAGCUGGCUUCGGGUGAGUCGAGGGUGCGCCCAUUGCUUGAGGAGACCCUCGGGCGAGGUGUGAAUUCGCCUGGGACUACUGUUCUCGCCCGAGGCUGGGCUCGGGCGAGGAGAGAUUACGUCCCUUGAGUAGACGAAGCCUUGACCUGAAUUGCACCCAUCAGUCUCUGCAGUUUGUGCUGAUGGUGAUUACCAGCCGAGUUUAGGAGUGUUGGGGGUACCCCUAAUUAUGGUACCCGACAAGUAUGUAUGGUACCUAUUGUUGUAGAAAUCUUGAAACACAAAGAAUGUUACUUGAUAAACUUGUUUGAUUUCAAAGCCUUGAAGAGAACGAAAAACACUCUACAUAAUGUUGAUAUAUGGAACGUAUAAACAAACAUAACACGUGCGGGGUAAUUAGCUUAUUAAACUUGACUAGUAGUGUGGGUUGGCGGCGAAGCACUUCCCCCUGAUCUCUCCCUCGUCGCUGGUGAGCACCUGGACCUUGCCCAUCUUAGCUAAGGCCUUGGCGAACUUGACCUGCCAUGCCUUCUCGACUGCUAAGUUGAAGUGGACCAUUUUGGCCGUCCAGGGAUUGUCGAGCAGUGUGUUGUCAGAGACGAAUAGGACCUUGUGCGCCAGCACGUUCUUGUAGUACUGGUUGUCGAAGGUCGUCGGUGUGACUGGGUCAAGCGGCACCACCGUGGGGGUCCAUCUGGUCGUUGGUGGACGGCCAAGGGCACCGCGCCUUGAGGUGCCUAGCAUAGGCUGGGUCGAGGGACGGGUCUGUCCGCCCCAGCUGCCCACUGAAGUUGUAGAGCCGCUACGUGAAGGAGGACAGUGGGAGCGGCCGAUGGUGUGCGUGCCAGAGAGCGUGACCAUGUCGUCGGCGUCCUCCACGGGCUGCGGCCGGCACUCGCUCCUCCGGGGCCACCAUCGCCACUGCUCGUGCCUCGGUAACCACCGCCGACGAGUGAGGGGGGCAUGUAGCUCGCUUGCGCCUCACCGGGCCGCGGCCGGCGCCCGUGCCUCAUGGGCUAUCGGCAUCGAUCGCACCUCUCGGGCCGUCAUCGCCGCUCGUACUUAGGGAACUGCUGUCGUCGCUCGUGCGUCAGGAUGGUGGCGUCAAAAAAUGAACUCUAGAGGCCUGGAACUCCUUUUAUAGACGUUGAUACCUGAUUGGAUUGGACUGUGUUGCCUAGUUUCUAGCCUAGGCUUCCUCUAGUUAUUAAAAACCCAAAUAUAUGGACUUUAGUACCAGUUCGUGAUUACAACCGGUGCUAAAGUUUUAACUUUAGUACAACUCUAGCCAAGAACCGAUACUAAUACGGGACCUUUAGUAACGGUUCUAACCAAGAACCGGUACUGAAGUACUAUCUAUAGUACCAGUCAGUGCAAUCGGUAAAUUUGCGGGCUUUUAGUGUCAGAUGCGGUCUUUUAGUCUAACUUUCAAUAAAUACAAGUACAAGAAAUUCAGUUGCAGUUCUCAAAAGCACUUCUCCCUAUAAAGAAAAGUGAAUUGUUUUGGUGAACAUCAAAGAAAAAGCUUGCUCUUCUUUCGUAAAAAAUUCUUCUAAAAAUAACGAACCCAAUCGUUGCAUAAAAGUUUGUACCGUACUUUUAUGUUUACGAGCUAAAGUUCUAGCAUAUGAAAGUCAAUAUAUAUUUUAGUCGAUACAAAGUCUGUUUUUUUGAAGAUCCACUAUGAUAAUGAAAAUAUUUCUACAUAAAACUCUCAGUGUUGUACAGACUACAUACACAGUGCUGGUCGCGGGAAAAAAAGAGCUUCUAUAUUUGUGAUCGGAUGUAAUCACUAAAUAUGUACAUGCAUGUUGUGCAAAUAACACCAUUUUACUUGAUAAAGUUGUUUGAUUUCACAGCCUUGAAGAGAACAAAAACACUCUACUUAAUGUUGAUGUAUGGAACGUAUAAACAAACAUAACACGCGCGGGGUAAUUAGAUAAUUAAACUUGACUAGUAGUGUGGGUUGACGGCGAAGCACUUCUCCCUGAUCUCUCCCUCGUCCCCGGUGAGCACCUGGACCUUGCCCAUCUUAACCAUGGCCUUGGCGAACUUGACCUGCCAUGCCUUCUCGACUGCGGCGUUGAAGUGGACCAUUCCGGCCGUCCAUGGGUUGUCGAGCAGUGUGUUGUAGGAGAUGAACAGGACCUUGUGUGCCAGCACGUUCUUGUAGUACUGGUUGUCGAAGGUCGCCGGCGUGACUGGGUCAAGCGGAACCACCGUGGGAUCCAUCUGGUCGUCGCUGGACGGCCAAUGGCACCGCGCCUUGAGGUGCCCGGCGUAGACGGGGUCGAGGGAUGGGUCCGUCUGCCCCAGCUGCCCGCUGAAGUUGUAGAGCCGCUGCAUGAAGGAGGAGCAGUGGGAGCGGCCGAUGGUGUGCGCGCCGGAGAGCGUGACCAUGUCGUCGGCGUUGAGCCCCUUGCGCUUGAAGCUCUUGAUGAGCUCGUCGACCUCGUCAGUCGGGGCGGGGACAUUGUUGUCGAGCACCUCCUCCUCUUUGGACACGCGACCGUCACGGCGGCCAGACGAGACCUUGUAGUCCAGGCCGCCGGCGAGGUAGGUGCUAUCACGGGCCGCGAACGCGACGAUGUCGGCGCAGGAGACGGUGCGCGGGCAGUGCGCCUCGAGGACGGCCUUGGCGUCGUCGAUGAUGUCAAAGCCGCGCAUGUUGGGGUUGUUGGCCACGGAGUCCUUCUCGGCCUUGUUGCCCGGCGUGGAGUUGAUGAGGAUGGAGCCGUCGUAGCCCCGGACGAAGCAGUCGUGGAAGUGCAUCCGGAUGAGCCUCGCGCCUAUGCCGGGCUCACGGGCGAUACCGCGGCGGACGGCGUGGCGCACGAUGUCCUCGGCGAGGCGUGUGCGUGUGCCGCUGAUGAGGAGACGACGACGAGCGCCGACAAGGCAAAUGCCAACCAAGUGGACCUCAUGACGAAGAUGAACAAUGGGUCGAUCAGAUGCUGCUCUCUCACUCUGAGCUUUCUAUCUGCUUUAGCUCUGGA